rnacentral:lncRNA from 1 species
GCUGCUCCCCGCCACGGCUCGGAGCUGGGGGUCGGCAGUGCGGGCGGGGGCGAACGCGAUCGCGGAGGGGAACGGGGCUCUCCGCGCCGAGUAUGCGUCCUGCGGCGGUCUGCUUUUCUCGGGCUCGGGUUAAAUCGCUCUGUAAGUCUGUCUUGAGUCCGCAGCUAGUGGCCCACUCCGCUGUCUCUUCCUCCUGUUGCAGGUCUGUUUCUGGCUCUCUGCCCUCUUGGGUCCACGCGUCCGCCAGCACACACGCGCAAUCUGGAGUGUACGUGACUGAAGGUUAAUCAUCAGAGGUUCCUGUUGUGGUUCGAUUAAAUUGUCCAAGGCUCUGCCAACACAACUCUUCCCUCUUUAGCAAAUAACUGAGAUGGGACUAGUGGGUUUAAAAGGGUUGCAGUUCCCCAGUGCCUGGUCCAGGCGGCAUCAGUGUGUAUGGGAGAAUGGGCGAGAUAUUCCGAGGUGCUAAAUGGGACAGGUUAGGAGAAAAAUGAUUUCAAUGGAGAAGUAGUUUGCUUUUGACCGCCAAAACUCUGCAGUCAGAAACACCCCAGAAGUAUCUUGACUUACUAGGUAAAUCUAAGUGUGUGGAUGACAAAGUAAGAUAUAUAAAAGCAGCUUGAACAAGGCUUUCACUUUGAAGGUCUGACUUUAUUCGAAAGCAGCCCCAUGUACCUCUUGUGUUAUGCGUCUGUAUGCUGUAUUCUUACUGAUUGAAAAUACACUUCACCAACAGAUGGUCGUUUAUGGUUUGAAAAAAAAUCAAGCAAAAACAAAUCUAAAUCUAGAUUAGCAUGACUAGGCAAGCCAUUGCAUAUGUAUACUCAUUUUUUUAGUUUCAGUAGGCAAUCCUUAUUAUAUAAUGCUUAUUCAGCUCUACAAAUAGAAGCUUCAUUGCAGGAUAUUUAUGGUCUAUGCAACUAGCAGUGGAAUUCUGUAUUAUAAAUCAUUCAAUUUCAAAAAAUAGCAAGAUAUUUAAAGAGAAAAAGUAAUGUUACUCUUGUUCUUAGGACUGAACCUACUUUAUUACCCUAAAAUGAAGUUCCAGGUGUAUUUAUUUGUUAUGUAUAAAACAUUACUGCCAUUCACAGAGUACUGUAUUCCAGGACCUUUAUCAAGCUCUAUGUGCAUGCUCUAAUUUGAACCCCACCAAUCCUUUGAAGUAAGUGUUAUACCAAUAGUGUGGAUGCAGAAAUGAAGACUCAGGUUAAGUAACUUGGCGAAGCAGAUUCUGGAUUGUCAGGCAACAGAGUGCAUCCUCAGAGAUGACCAUCCUACUUGUAUUCAUUUGUAAGUGGUUUGAUUAUAUUAGGCCUGGAAACUUUUAUUUAUAUGCCACUAAAAAUAGUCAGGAUAAGAAACAGCCCUCCAGAGGACAUUUUAUGUAUCAUUGUUUGUGUCCCAAAUUUUGAGAGAUAGCAGUUGGGGUGUAUGGGGAGAUGAUUCUAAGUGCUAUGGUGGAAGGUGGUAGAAAGUGACCUCAAGAUAAUUAUAUAAAGAGCCAGGCACAGUGCAACAUGCCUGAAAUCCUAGUAACUCAGGAGGCUGAGGCAGUAGGAUUGCAAGACCAAAGCUAGCCUCAGCAAUUUAGUGAGGGCUCAAAUAACUUAGUGAGACCCUGUCUCAAAAUAAAGUAUAAAAAUGCGUUGGGGAGAUGGCUCAGUGAUUAGACCCCCCUGGGUUCAAUCCCUUAUAUCAAAUAAUAAUAAUAAUGUAAAGAUCAUGACUGAAGCUCAACUAUAAGGAACAGAAUGAGUAGUCCAAGCAGUAUUUCUUUCUAAGCAUUUCUUUAAAGACGAGUUGGAUAUCUAUUAUUAAUCAGGACCAUAAUAAAAUAGCAGAGUAUUUAUGUUAUAGUUAUAACCCCUUAGUGAUUGUGAAAUUCAUUUAGUGUGUCAUGAUGGGUGUUUUAAAAAAUAAAACAUUAGAAAACAUCAGAAUACAUUGCCCAAUGUAAGUAAUGUGUAUUGUUUUGUGAAAUUUUGGUUUUAUUUAUGUGUGUAUGUGUAUGGAUGCACAAGUAUCCAUUGUCAAGUCACAAUAUAAAAGGAAUUUCUUUGGUUGCUAUUGGAAAAGCUCGAAAUACAUUGUGAUAGGAAAAUACAGAACUUAAGAAGCCAGAUGCCAGCUGUAAAAGAAAGAAAAAAAUGUGUUUGGAGUCAGUGAUAACUCAUUUAUUCCACAAUAAUUUCUUACAUGUUUUGAGCAUCAAAUGUAUUUAUAACAACUGCCUAAAACUGGAAGGGGACAAAUUAGGCCCUUUGCUCUGGGUGCAGUUUAUAAUCUAGUAGGAAAGAGAAUUUGGAAUGGGGAAUCAUUUAACAAUUCAAGAUAGAAAGGGAUUAAGGCCUAAAAAUUUAUAUUUUUAGGCCUUAAUUUAUAUCAAUUUUCUGAAAUUAGUGAUUAUUAUAUUGAUAAUCACUAAUUUUAGAAAAAUGAUAUGGACAAUACAAUUGGAGAAGGCUUCAGAAGAAAAGAGACUGAGUUUAUUAUUUAUGUAUUUUUGUGGUCUUGGGGAGCAAAACUAGGCAGACACUCAGCCACUGAGCUGCAUCCCCAGCCACAGAGCUGAACUUUUGAAAUAGGAGGAUGGAGGAGAGAGAGAGGCUUUCUCACUAGAAGAACUAUAGGAGCAAAUACUUGAGUCAGGAUGCAAAUGUUUGAGGUAGAAUAACUAAUUUGGAAUAGUAAGAAGUGGGGCUGGAUAAGUAGGGAGAGGCACAAUAGGGACAGAAUUUCUGGCUAGUGAUAAGAGUAUAGGAAAUUGGCAGUUCCUGGAGUUUUCUAACCAGAAAAAUGGUAGAAAUACUCAUCAGAGUAUUGAUGCUUUGAGAUAGGAUGAGGGGAAAAACAGAAACAAAAAUGGUCAGGUAGGAAACUUGCUAGAGUGAAGAAUUGAGUUGAAAAAUGCUGAACUGGCAAAGGGCCAGAAGUAAAGCAUUUUAUAGGAAAUGAUGCCAUGGUGUCAAGGAAACCUGAAACUUAAAAGCCAUUCCAAGUGAGGUGACAGACACUCAAAGACAAUAAUUUACCAAUGUUGUGUGACAGCCACUGAAUUAAUGGCAAAUAUGAUUCAUUCUGUAGAGUAAACUUGUUAAUAUAAUUCUGUGCUAGUUUUGCUUGUGAGACACGUUCCUUCCCGGGGAAAAAAACUGUCUCCUAGCUUGGUGUAAUAGACAUUCGCAGGUAUAACAGACAAAACAAAGAGACAUUUUUCUUGAUCAGAAUUUCUUGAACCACUAAUGGAAAAUGCAUACUGUGAGUUUAUCGAAGACAGGAUUUUUGGCUCAUUAAUUUUGAUACUCAUGGUGUCUAAAGUGUUUGUUAAAUGAAUUAAGGCCAAUGACUGAGUAGUUAGAGAAAAAUAUCUAGGCCCAGAAUACCAAGGCAAUAUAGAGCAAAGCAUCCUGAAUGAUUGUAUUAGAUCCCAAACUAUGUAAUAGGACCAGUGGUCUCCAUCCUCAAGUCAAGGGCACUCAGUGUCAAUCUGCAUGGAGGACCCUGAGCCUUGCUAGUUUGUUGCCUUAAUUACUUCUAAAGCAGGGGAGCUAUCAGAUGGGUCCCCAAAUCUGCUUUAUCUCAUUUUUUUAAAAAUAGCUACUUUCUACUUCUUCAAAAUCAUAAAUCUAAUAGUAAAUCUGUUCCACUUAAAAAGCAUCCCAGGAGUUCCAUACCAGAUCAGUCUUCAGGCAAAGGAAAAUAAAUAAAUAAAUAAAUAAACUUCUAGAACUAAACAUCAUCAUAUUAGUAUCAUCAUCAUUUAGUAUCUCUUAUGAAGAAUUGCAUUAGGACAAAAUCAUGUUACAUAUUUGCAUAGUUCCCUGAAAAUUCCUUAAACAGAUAUCAGUUAUGUGCUAAGUUACAUGAACUCAGUUACUUACACAGAACUGAAAAGCAAAACCACUGUGAGAGUUAGAAUCCAUAAAAAUGAUCUCUUUCUUGAAAGAUGAAAAAGUAUAUAAAACAUAAAUAUGUUCUGCACCUCCCUUGUUUCUGAUUUUUUUAAGGUGCCCUUUAAUAACUUGAUAUUUCCUUUGGAUGUGCAAUCUGUGGCAUUCCAUCAAAUCGAAAAUGCAUGAAUUUAGUUAUAUGUAUUUUUGACAUUGAGAGAAAAAGCUUAAAUAGACAGAUGGCCUGGAUUGACAGAAAUAUUGAUGACUUCAGGUGGGCUAUAACAAAACUGAAAUGGUUAACUCAUAUUGUUAGAAACUAUGAUGUAGUUGGGCAUAGUGCCUCAUACCUGUAAUCCCAGUGACUUGGGAACUCUAGACAGAAUUGAAAUUUCAAGGCCAGCCUCGUGAACUUAGUAAGACCCUAAGCAAUUUAGUGAGACCUUGCCCCAAAAUAAAAAAUAAAAAGCACUGGGGGUGUAGCUCAGUGAUAAAGGACCCUUUUGUACAAUCCCCAGAACCAUAAAACAGAACUACUAUGUUUUGGCAGUCUCCAAUACUUACCCAACUUUGAGUUACUUAUGCUACAUAAUAGAGCAAAUUAUUUAGCCAUCUAGAAGCAUUAGUUUUGUAAUACUUUGUCUUAAAGCCAUCAAUAGAAGCUUUCAUGCUCAAAGUUAGAUAUUCUGAGGGUAUUUUUUUUUUGAUGAUUAAAAUAACUGCAUUAGGUAGGUGUUUGUUAACAGUUGUGUCAUAGCUUUUCUAGGCAAAAACAUUCUUAGUUGUGUUCACUGGCAAAACCUUGGAGGUCACAUUGCCCUUAUCUGUAUUAGAAUGGAUCCAAGAUUGUUUUCUGAGGAAAAUCUUGGCCUAGCCCACAAAUAUUUUGUCUAUUUCCUUAACUUUUAUAAAACAUUAACCCUAGUUCUGAUGGCUGCUUGUGCAAAUUUUUGAAAUAAUAGCUCUAGGUUGCUACCACCACUCUCUGCUUUCUAGGCAUGAUCAGACAUGCUCAGUUGUGAGAAGUCAUGUUUAUGCAGAAUUUCCUGAAAACUAUGCACUCUUUGAAGCCAUCUAAAUUUUAUUUUCAGAUUUAAGAAAAACCCUUAGAACUCUCUCUUUGGCUAGUCUUCUUUUGGCUCCCCCUAAUAUUACUUUUACUGGACUGCAGUCCAGGAUCACUCAAACAUUCUAAGUUCAGUGACUGCAGAAGUGGCUGCGGGACCCCCACAACAGUUUUACAGCUGAGACAACUGCUCACUCAUCACACUGUGUUCUUGCACUGAGCACUUGCAGAAAUUCAGUACCACAAAAAACUGUGCUUCCCUUGAGCAACUAGUUUGUUUUCUAAUCUAAUAGGCAUUUUGAAUUAUGUAAUUGAAUGCAGGCUUCCUGUCGUUGUGUUGCUUGUUUAAAAAUUCAGAAACUUACUGCACAUUUUGUGAAUUACUUUUAUCUCAGUUUAUUAUUUUUUUCUACUCUUAGUUUCCCUUUAGCUGGUUACUCCACUGCUUUUAUAUCUUGUACUGUAUAUAUUUCAAUCUUUGGACUAGAAGAAAUAGAAGAAAAUAUAAGACUAAAUCAGUCAUGAUUACAAAUCAUAAAGAUUAAUUUUUGAAAUAAAGUAAGAGUGGGCCCUUGACAAUCUGAGGGAGGUUUUUUUUUUCUUACCAUUUAAAAAAAUUAUAUAUGACAGCAGAAUGCAUUACAAUUGUUAUUACACAUAUAGAGCACAAUUUUUCAUAUUUCUGGUUGUAAUCAAAGUAUAUUCACGGCAAUUCAUGUCUUCAUACCUGUACUUUGGAUAAUAAUGAUUAUUACAUUCCACCAUCACUAGUAACCCCAUGCCCCCUUCCUUCCCCUCCAACCCAUCUGCCCUAUCUAGAGUUUGUCUAUUCCUCUGAGGGAGGUUAUUUGAUUUCCUUUUCCUUCACCACAAUUGCACCCCACACUUUCACUAUUUAAAGUGACUCUAAAUGUUAAUUUUAUGAGCAGGAGACUGAUAGAAGAAAAUAAAAUGACUAAAGACUGCAGCCAAGUAAAGACUGCUGAGUUACAGAGAAAUAAAGGAUUGUAUUUCUUUGGGUUGCAAGAAGUAGAAUGUGUUAAAAGUUAGGAAUCGAGGGGUACUAGUUCUAAGAAACUUCUGACUGGGAAGCAGGAAGAAUAGGGCUACUUGUUCAGGGGCUAGACUGAAUAUUUGACUUUGGUAAUAGCUUACCACUGUUGUAGGGACAAACGAGGCAAGGCACCGAAGAUAGCAGGAAACAGUUUUUAUUUGGCUGCAGCCUGGUUCAGAAGGCAUGGCUUUUUCUGGAAUCAAUUAAUCCCCUGAACCUCAAGUUCAGGUAGUUCCAGAGUUUUAUACCCAGCAUGUAAGGGGAGGGGCUCAGAAGUUCACAGUCUGCAAAAGUUCACAUAAAAGCAGCUUUUUCUUUCACUGUUCUGGACAGUGAAAGAAAAAGCUGCUUUUAUGUGAACUUCAAGGACAACACCCUUCAAGGACAAUACCUGAGAAGGGGAGAGCUUCUUCUCCCCUUUCUAUUCUCCCCCUGCUAGCUGUUACCAUGGAGCCCAGUUGAUAACUUUCUUAUCUUAAAAAUGUAGACAUCUUGGCUGGGGAUGUGGCUCAAGCGGUAGCGCGCUCGCCUGGCAUGUGUGCAGCCCGGGUUCGAUCCUCAGCACCACAUACAAACAAAAAUGUUGUGUCCGCUGAAAACUAAAAAAAAAAUAAAUAUUAAAAUUCUCUCUCUCUCUCUCUCUCUCUCUCUCUCUCUCUCUCUCUCUCUGUCUUAAAAAAAAAAAAUGUAGACAUCUCUGUGAAGCCCAGUUCAAGUCCAGAGACCUUGUUUGCACAUUUCUUCAAAGUGCUAUACUGGAUAUGUUUGUGAAAAACUAGUAAGGGGGUGUCCAGCACCUGGAGUGCUGGUAUCUUCUCGGCCUGUGGCCAAGUAAACAGGACGGCACAAAAAUAGGAAGUUUAUCUACAUUGAACUCUUUUGCAGAAACUCUUUUGCUGACACUUCUAAAAUCAGACAAGGUGAAGAUUUCUGGAGAAGCCCAGUAAAGACUUUUCAGUGGAGAAAGUGGGUGCCACUUCACCACUACAAAGGACAUGGGGAGUGUCAUGAUAAUAACUACAAAAGGGUGGCAGAGAGCACUGUGAGAGUGUACUGGGGCAGAGUUUUGAGUGACUCCAGAUAACAUGUAAGAAAGCAUACUGUUUCCUUGGUGCUCAGGAAGGUUGAGAACAAGAGAUUUGAGAUAGACCAAGGAUAGUAGCUGGAAUGGUUUGUGAUUAGGUGAGAUAGGAUACUUGGGCAGAAAGAGAAUGCAACCAGGAGGAGAAGCCUUAUUUCUCUAGGAAUUAGGGGAGAGAAAGAUUGGACAGAAGAGAGCUGAGAUCUGGCAGUGGGCCUGAGGACCCAGAGCAGAAGAAACCCUAGGGAACACUUGGCACUUAACUAGGUCCCAGCACAUUAGUAUGUAUUUGAAACUUUGUCACAAUGAUAAAGCUGAAUCAGACUGAACCUGUGUCUAUGCUGUUGUGACCACCUGCUAGUGGUUUUUCUCUUGACAUGGCCCCACAGCUUUUCCUUGAGCUGGAGGGAUCUGCCUUUGGAAGUAAUUCCCUGUGGAGGAGAAAAAAAGAGAUGAAUGGCCACACCAUAUAAUCAAACCAUAAUACUUCUUUUUGUGUGUUGCACAUACCGUUUGCCAGGAAAUCUCUUAUAUUCUUCUUUACCUUCUUCAUCAUCUAAAUCUUAGCUUUAAAGCUAUCCCUUUAGAGGUUAGGUCUCCUUACAGAGCUAAAACAUUCAUAAUCAUUAAAUACCUAAAGGAUUCUGGUGGCUGUGCUUCUGUCUGCCAACCAAAUAAAAAUAAAAGCAUGAAACAAAUAAACAUUUAUCUAUUUUUUUGAGAUAGCAUACAACAAAAUGUAUAUGUAUCUUGAAUAACUUCUUCCUAGAUUUUCUUCAACUCUGUGAUCUCAUUCUGUCUCCUCACACAUGCUGUCCUGUGCUCACUCUUUCUCUGCCUCUUUCUGAGUCUUGCUUUGCUGGUGCCCCAGGCAAGUGCUGAAUUUUCCAACCAGGUCAUUCUGUACUUUCCCCCAUUAAACAUUCCCACAGUGCCCUGUACUACAAGUACUUUGCACAUUGGUAAUCAUGACACUGUUUACUGUGGUCUCUCUUUAAUGUCUGUCUUUCCCAAGAGACUCUUCCAUACGGCAGGGACUUUUCAUCAGUUUGUAAAGUUCAUGAAGAGCACAAAUAUGUGUUUGCUUGACUUGGUAUCCUAUAAAAAGUAAACAACUUUUAAGUGACCAGAGGAGAAAUCAAGGAAUCUUCUAGAACGAUAAACUGGAUUUUUAUGAAUAUAGGGGAUAAAAGAAGAUGAAAACAAUGAGGUGAGAAGACCAAAUGAAAUGAGGUGUUUUCCUGUGCAAGAUUAAUUCAAAGUCUUUACACUCUACUUAAUAUUGUAUUUCUGGUGAGGUAAAUUAGUUUCCUCUAGAUAAUUUAUAUUAAAAUACAAUGUAGAUCUGUAUAUAUUUAUUAUUAGAGUUAAUAAAUAAUGUAGUAAUAUAUUUACUAUUGACAGUUUUAUAAGAUCCAUUCAUAAAAUCAUAGUAAACCUUUUCCUAGUCUGGUGUCCAGAAUAUUAGACUGUAGUCCUCCUUUAUACCGUCAGCCCUUCUGCCACAUUUAUUCAACAAAUAUUUGCUGAACAUUUAGCACAUGUCAGUCAUUGUGCCUGGUACCCAGGUGAAUAGUCCCAUAGGCCUUGCCCUCAAGAAAUUGACAGUUCAAGAUCAGUGGGUACUAAGUUACAGUAAGGAGCAACAAAUUCUGGGGUGCUAUUGCCUGGUAGGAGGAAUAUAGUUAAUAAUUAUGUACCAUACAUUUCAAAAAGCUAAAAGAAAAGAUUUUAAAUGUUUAAAAUGUUCACUAUAAAGAAAUGAUGUGAGGAAAUAGAUAUGUCUAACCUGAUUUAAACAUUACACUAUGUAUGUACAUGUACUGAAACAUUAUAUGAUAUUCCAUUCAUAUCUAUAACUUUUAUUUUUAUGUGCCAGUUUAAAAUAUAUUAAAAAAAGAAGUAGCUUAUAGUUCCAGAUCAAAGGUACUACCCCAGAGUACAAUAAAAAUAUAGACAAAAGUAUUCAGAAGGACUGUAUUUGAACUAUGUAGGAAAGUACAGUUUUUAUAGAAUAAAGAAAGUCUGUAAGAUAAAGUUUAGAUAUUCUUAGUUCUGACACCUUCACCUUAAGAUGUAUUUGUUUCCUGACCAGGUCCUCAAAUAUUCACCUAAGACAUGGUAACUUUGGGGGAUGGAAUAAUGCUUCUUGCUAAUCAGCAUAGACAACACCCAGUGAUCUUGCAUGAAGAAACAUCCUGUUGUGAAAAGGUGAUUACUCAUUGUAUCCACAAAACAGGAGUGUGAUGUCUCUGUGAAUGUAUGUGUGCAUACAUUUAUGCCCGUGAAUGUGUGUGCUUGUGUCAAGAGGAAGUGAUGUGUGCAUGUUUUAUUACUUAGCACACUUGGAUUUUUUUAUUCAGAGAUAUUAAUAAAGGUAAAGUUGAAGGCUUAACCCCAAGACGUGAUUGUUAGUUUUGCACAGAGGAAAAUCUCUGUCUCAUGACUGUAGAUUGCACUUCUAGUCCUCAAAUGCAAUGAGAGAACAUCUAACUUAGUGGAAUCACUAGCAUGACCAGAAAGUCAACUCACUCAUAUUAUGAUGGCUAAGGAUGAUCAUUAUAAGAAGAAAAAGUUACUGUUAGAUACAGUAUUGUGAAAAAAGGAUGAAAAAUCCUCAAUCAUAUUAAGAAAGCUGAACAAUUUUACAGACUUACACACAGAUACUUUUUUCUCAGUACUAUUUUAUGUUUUUUUAAAUCUAUGUACCUGUACAGAAAAAUGCAAACAUCAUUUAGCCUUGAACAAUUCAAUAAUGUGUAUGAAAGCUAAUUAAUAGGAUUUAGUUCCACUGGGUGUGAGGUUGCAUUAGGAUUCCAAAUGACAUUUUACUUUUACUUUAUUGGGUUGUUUUAAUAUGUCAAAUGAGAAGAUGCAAGUUUCCUUACUAAUUAAUUAACUAAUUAGUACUUUGGGAAACAUGCCAGUUUUUAUGUUGCCGCCAUCAUUUUUAUUUUUAGCUCCAUCUGUUUUGUUUUAUCAAGUUGCUGUUUAAACUCUGGUACAAUACUUAGUUUGUAGCUUCAAUACUGUCCCUACUAACUUCCUGUGUUAGUUAGGUUUUCAUUGGUGUGACCAAAAUACCAGACCAGAACAACUUAGAAGAGGAAACAUUUAUUUUGAGUUAACAGUUUCAGAGGUUCAGUCCAUGGUCGGCCAGCUCCAUUGCUCUGGGCCCAAGAUGAAAUAGAACAUCAUAGCAGAAGCACACAGCAAAGGAAAGCUGCUGGCCUCAUUGUAGCUAGACAGGAAAAAGAAAGAGAGAGAGAGAAGGGGAGAUGGAGAGAGAGAGGAGCCAGAGGAACAAGAUAUAAUCACCAAUCGAACACCCACAGUGACCUACUUUGUCCAGCCAUGCCCCACCUGCCAACAUUUACUACCCAGUAAUCCAUUCAGCGUUAACCCAUCAAAUGAAUUAAUCUACUGAUUAGAUCACAGCUCUCACAAUCUAAUCAUUUUGCCUGUUAACAAGCAUACAUUGUCUCCUCUGCUUUUGGGGGACACCAUAUAAUCAAACCAUAAUACUUCCCUAAAAUGAAUACUUCAUUACUAGCCCCUAAGCCUGCUCUUUGCUCCUCAAUAUCCUAUACCAGAAAGAAUCUCUUUUUAUUUAAGGCUAGUUCAUGGUCACAUAAGAAUCUCAGAGUCUUUACAGUUCUCAUGGAUUUUUUUAGAACGUAUGGAUGGAAUCUGUCUCCAGUUGAAACCUGGAGAUUUCCUCUUGGAUUUCCCUCCCUUUUCUUGCCCUUUCCUGGGAACUGAGUUCCCAACCUCUCCCUGCCCUUUGAAUCAAAGACCAGAGGUGCACCACUGACAGAAAGUACUUGUAUUCUUCAAAGGAGAGCAUUUGUUGCUGUCAAUCACCUAUUGUAAAAUAACUCUGAUGAGUAUUAUUAAUUUUUAUGUUGAUCCUAUUUUAUUUAAUAUUAUUAUUAUUAAUAAUAAUUAAUGAUAUCAUCCUCUAUAUAGAAGGUGAGUAAAUAAAUUACAGUCUGCUCUUUAAUCCCUUUUUUCCUCAUCUGACUCAAAUUUAUGUUGAUUAAAGGUUAGAAUAAAAGUAUGCUUAAUUGGGCUGGGGUUGUGGCUCAGUGAUAGAGUGCCUGCCUAGCACAUGUGAGGUACAUUUAGUGGUUUAGUGGCUUAGUGGUUUGGAAAGCGCUUAAGAAGAAAAUACUGUUGAUUUUAGUUGUCAGUAAACUUAUUGUUUCACUUCAUCUCAGCCACAUUGAAAAACUAAAUAAAGGUAUUGGGUCCAUCUACAACUAAAAAUAUUUUUUGAAGUAAGCUUGAUUAAAUUGUGCUAUUUACCGAAUGCUACAGUUUAUGAUGUAAUAAUCAAACACUAUACAUUCUUAUGGCUAAUAUAGAAAUUUUUAUAACAAAUUAUUGUAUAUAAUAAUAAAUAAAUUUAUAACAAUAAAUGGGGAACAUCCUAGAAGGUAUGCUAAUCUAUUACCAGAAAGAAUCUCUUCUUAUUUAAGACCAGUUCAUAGUCACAUCAGAGUCUCAGAGUCUUUACAGUUCUCUGUAAAAUAAUUGUGGAAUAAGGAAUAAAAGACAUCUUUUGAGAAUAUACAGUGUGAGGAUCUCAAAGUUUGUAUUCUUUAUGUCUCUCUCCAUAAAAUAUCAUCUUUGUGGAUGAGAGCAGAUCCUUAAUAUCUUGUCCUUAGCUGUCUUUUCUCUCUGUAUCCCCAGUUGGUUUCAACCUUUCUCCCCUGCAAGCAAUUGUCUUUAUUUCAUCAUUCAGACUGAGUCUUUUGAAAGCUCAUAAAUCAACAGAAGCCAGAAAAUUACAAAUGCACACUGUAUGUUUAAUAAUAGUGCACAAUCUGAUUACUGUAAGUACAAUUUUAAAUUUUUUCUGUUCAAACAGUUUAUGUGAAUAGCAACUUCUAUUUUCUUAGACUUACUUGAGUGGAAAAAAAUCCCUUUGAAGCUACAACAGAACUUGUGGUACAAUAUUGAUUAAUUGGUAAUGCAAAUUAGCUUGUGCCUACCAUCAGAACGUGGAAAAAUAUAUUUGAGUCUGAAAGUAAGACCCUCAGUUCUGUCUGUGCACUUCCUUAGUUGGUUGAAACUCUCAAAUAUACCUCCCUUUUAACAGCGGUAAAGGUUGUUUUACCUUAUGGAAUAAAAAAAAAAAAAAGAUAAGUUGACCUUUUCCAUUUUAUCUGAAAGAAAGUGCUUAAGAAGAAAAUACUGUUGAUUUUAGUUGUCAGUAAACUUAUUGUUUCACUUCAUCUCAGCAACAUUUUCCAAACCACUAAACCACUAAAUGUUCACUGGAGACUUUCAGGUCAUGGCAAGAUGACAUAGUAAUUUGGUGCUUAAUUGAUUUAAUAUUGAGUGCCAAGAAACAAUUGAGGCUCAACCCACAAACCCCAAAUCCAUUACAUUAUCCUAUUUUGAAUGUUUAAAAAAAUAAGUAGAAGAUUUUAAAAUAGCCACUUCAUUUUAGGCUCUAUAAUGAUAGUAUGUGAAAUUAUUAAGUUGUAUAGUAUUACAGAGCUUUCAGAAGACUCAGAUUUGAGCUGAUGUAUUUCAUAAGGAAAAAUUCUUAUUUGCUUGCUAAUUUACCUGAAGAUAUUCAUCUCUAAUGUGUACUCCCAGAAAUGUAAAAAUGUUCCAUCGCAUUUCAAAUUAUCAGUAGCAGUUAAUUAAGGUUCAAAUUGCUUUGAGGAUGCUAAAAUUGAUUUUAUCAUUUUUGUCAAUUUCUUUUUAUUGUGCCAUUCCUGGGUUUAUGCCAAUAAUUUGUCAGAUGCAAUUACAUUUGUGAAUUUAAUUUUCUUUUGCACUGUAUGGCAAACUAGGUAUAUUCCCAUAUUACUAGGUGUUUUAUAGGAGUUACUCUUGAUUUUCCUUAAAAUUAUUUACUGGUUUUUCAUAUUAUUUCCCAUGAUGUCAUUUACUCUCAUAAUAUGAAUGUGGCAAUCAUUUUAGUAGUUAGAAAAGCUAUAACAAUGCAAAUAUGUACUUGGCCUUCAUUGGUCUUUAAUCCACUACUGCCAAUUUAAUCUACAUACCAGACAUUAAAUAACAACAGAAUUAAUAACAAUAAUACCUACUAUUUAUUGAACACUUACUAGGCCCUAAUCCCUGAACUUAAUACAUUGUCUUAAUUAACCUUCUUUGUAACCUGAGGAUGGCACAGUUUCUAUCUACCAUAUGGCCAAAGUGGUUGUUAAAACACUGAAGUACUUUUAUUGUGGUAGUGAAGAGCUGAUGUCCCAAGCUCCCCAAGUGUCCUUUGUACCUUUUUUCUCCAAUUUCCCAUCUUUUCUCCUGGGGAUCUCUCCAUCUUGUCCUCCCCAAAUCCAGAAACUAGAGGAUUAACAAUGGCAUGGCAGAGACCCUCUGUGACCUCUGCUCUAGCAGCCAGACUUCGUUCUGAUGUGUUGGUACCCAAGCUGUUCCAGUAGUUAAAUAUUGUGGUUAUUAGCAAAGAUGUAGAUACUAUCAUUACUGUUCUGCAGGAGGGAAAACUCAUAUAAAUAUGUAAAAGUUCAUCAGUUUGCCCAAGAUUGCCCACCUAGAAAGUGUCAGAUCCAGGACUCAAACCUAGGUCUCUCUCAAGUUAAAAUCCUUGCUCUUUUUUUGGGGGGUGGGGGUGGAGAAGUACCAGGAAUUGAACUCAGAGGUACUCAACCCUGAGCCACAUCCCCAGCCCUAUUUUGGAUUUUAUUUAGAGAUAGGGUCUCACUGAGUUGCUUAGCAUCUCCCUUUUGCUGAAACUGCUUUGAACUUGUGAUCCUCCUGUCUCAGCCUCCCAAGCUGUUGGGAUUACAGGCAUAAACCACAUCGCCUGGCAAAAUCCUUGCUCUUAACUAGUAUAGUGGACUAAAAAAUAGAGAAAACCAGCCGGUGAUUAGUGUUGACUUCCCAGGCCCCAACAUGGAUAGCUAUCUACUCUGACUACUUGUACAAUGAAUUUUAAAUUUAAUUAUGUUUUUCAUUAGGUUCUCAGCCAUAAUAAUGAGCAUGCAAGUACUAGGUUGAUAAUGGAUACUUUGCAUUAUUCCACCAGCAUCCUGUAUUUACUAAUUUAGCCCAUGUUGUAUUUUGCAAAAAUGUCUCCAUAGGUAGAAAUUACCUUCUUUAUUCAUCCCUUUUAAAAACAUUUUAAAAUGUUAUUGUAUUUUUAUACAUUUAUUUUAUUUAUAUAUUUUUAUGUGGUUCUGAGGAAAGAACCCAGUGCCUCAUAUGAGCUAGGCAAGUGCUCCACUACUGAGCUACAAUCACAGCCCCUAUUCAUCCCUUUUUGGAUGAUGCCCCCUAUUCAGACAAAUGAUUAAACACACCAAAAAUGGUAAAUUACAAACUUAACAUUUUUAUAUACUUUUAAACUUUAUUUACUUUUAUAUAAUUUUAAUAUCCCAAAUCCAAGUAUCAUAGGCUGAAACCCCUUAGCAUUAUAUUUCGCUUCUUCUCUCUUAUCUACCUUUUCUUUCUUUCCAUUGUUAAUAAAAAACCCAGUGCAAAAAUAAAAAAACCUAGCCUUCAUAUGGACAUUAUGAAGAUCCAUAAUGUCCAAGUCACUUAUAUAACUCCAUCCUUAGUAUCAGAGAAAAUUCUAAUUCUAUUAGCAUGUGUUGUAUAUUUUUUAAAGGCAGUUAGACCAACAGGUGAAUCAAAAAGUCUGCUGUCUACAAAGCACAUUUUUAUUUAGCAAAUUGCAUCAGUGCUCUGAGAACUGGAUAUACCACAUCUAUCUGCCAAAGCAGAAAAAUUUGACAAGGGAUGCAGAAAUACUUCAGGUAUGGUGAAAGAAAUGAUAGGUUUUAUGUGUAGGUGAUGUAUGGAGUGCAGAAAUUAUAAGACCUCUCCAAGGUUGGCCUAUCUGACAUUAGGGACAGGGCUAACAUGUCUUAAUGGAGGCCUAGCAUGACAACCAAAGGCAUACUGGAUCUUUCUCUGGGCAGCAUAUGUGUAUUUCUUGCUAUAAUAUUAUGAAAUAUCAUAAAUGAAGGUUUGUCCUUCAUUUCUCGACAAAUAUCUUUAUAUAUCUAGAAUCUCCAAAGUGACACAUAUCUUUUGUGUGCUAAUCAGAUGACUGGUGGCUGGAGUUUCCUCCUUAGCCUCAGGAUGGGGGCUGUUUGCCAGGGGCACAAACCUUGCAAUUAGAAGGUUGGAGCUUACAGUACCUCCACCUAACCUAGGGGAGGGGAAAAGGGCUGAGGGUUGAAUUGAUAAACCAAUAGUUAAUGAUUUGAUCAAUCAGCUUACUUAAUGAGAUGUCCUUGAAAAAAAAAAAGAGGAAAGAACUGAGUUCUGAGGGCUUUCUGAUAGCUGAACAAUGGAGGUCCCAGAAGGUGAUAUUUCUAGAGAUGGCAUGGAAGCUCUAGGCCCCUUCUCCCAUAUCUUGCCUUAGGCAUCACUUCCCUCUGUUUAUCUGUUUCCUUUUUACUAUCCCUAAUAAUAAACCCAUAAAUGAAAGUAUGUUCCCCUAUCAUAGGCAAGUAGAUUGCCACACUGGCAAAUAGAUUGGACCCAAGGAGAGUACCAUGGGAACCCUGAUUUGCAACUAGUUGGUCAGAAAAACAGGCCAUAAUCUAUGCUUAUGAUUGGAGUCUGAGGUGCUUGGCAGUCUUCUGGGACUGAACCCUCAACCUAUGGGGUCUUCCUCUAUUUCCAGGCAGAUAGUGUCAAAAUUGAAUUGAAUUAGAGGAUAGCCAGCUGGUAUCUACUGGAGAAUACACUGGAGAAGUGUUUGGUGUUGUGUAUUGGGGAGGACCCCAACAUCUAGGGUCACAGAAAUGUUCCAUGCUGUGAAGGUAUAAUGGGAGAAACUCAAAGUUUGUUUUAUUCUUAUAGCCUUUCACUUACUGGCUCAUUUGAAUUUGCAGUGGGCAUGGAUAUGUCUAAGACUUCUGGGACCAGCAGAAGAGUCAGCCAGCAGCAGCACCAAGCAACCUUACCCCAAAGCAGCAGCAGGGAUGAGAUUACCUGGUGUCUCUCCUGGGCCCUGAGCAACACCUGGGGCCCCAAGGUUGUGACCACACAGUUCUCUGAUGAUGUUUAAUCCUGGGACUUUCAGUAACAUUUAGGAAGAGAUACAGCCUGCCCCUGCAUUACCUUUCCACAGGUUAAAGGUGGAUGAAGGAAGAUCUGAGCUCCGAGAGCUGUAAGAACAAGACCAAAGCUUGACUUUUUCGUUGUCUUUCUGCUCAAAGGGAUCAAAAUUAGGGAGCAGUGGGCUGGGGUUGUAGCUCAGUGGUACGGUGCUUGCCUAGCACACGUGAGGCCCUGGGUUCAAUCCUUAGCACCACAUAAAACUGAAAUAAAGGUAUUAUGUCUACCUAUAACUAAAAAAUAAAUAUUAAAAAAGAAAAUUAGUGAGCAGUGAAAGCAGGAGCUCUUGUGGUUGCUGAGGACUGGAGCUAGCAGUGUGAGAAUCCCCUGAGGCCCUGACGGAAGGUGGAAGAAACUUGGAAGGGGAGGGCUGAAUCUCCACAAAGUACCUUAGAGAACCUAAGCCCAGGAGGCUUGUGUUAUCUUUAUUUAUUUUCAGUUAUCUUUAUUUAUUUUUUCCUAGGAACCCGGGAAUUCUCUUCAAAACAACAAAAAAAAGUUACCCAAGUUUUGAGAAGUUCUGUUCUCCUUAGAUCCACUCUCUGAAACUGAAUGGUGGAGUCAUUUAAUAGUAGUCAGGAAGAUACUGUCAGAAUGGUGAGGGGCCUCUCCCCUGCUCAUGGAAGGCCAUCAUGUUUUUACAAGUGCAGCCAACACUUCAACACAUUUAUUAAGUACCUACUGUGUAUUAGGAGCUGUAUUUUUCAUGACCAUAGUUCAAGGGAGAGGGGGAAAGGGAGGGCUACAUCACCUUGGGAACAGAUGGUUAACUUCUGGAUGUCAUCUCUGCACCCACCAUUAUGUUCACAUACUGUAGCUGAAAUGGGACCUGGUGUGCAUUCUGCCCACUAGUAAGAAUGUGCUAAUUUUGAAAUGGAAAAGUUCUGCUUGACAUUUGUCAGUGAAGAGAUUACUUAGAGAAGACUUAGAGAAAUCACUGCUUCAUAGAGGCCUGUCCAGGCAGGAUUAGAAAACCUGUUUCACCAUAUUUUGAAGUUUAUCAAACAGGAUAUUCAAUUUAGCAAAUUUCCUAACAAACUGACAUGAAAUCAGAAAUCUAUUUUAUUAAUUUACAGUGAGAAAGAAAACUUCCCAGGAGUUAGAAAGCCUGUUGUUUAAUUUCUCUUCCUCUUAUUCUCACUGAACACAAACCAAAAUAAGCCCAACUUUCAGAAGAUACCUAGAAGAAGAGGAGGUAUUUAUGCAAGUGUUGUAUUUAAUGCCAUCAUGUUAAUAGAGCCAAGUACAUGCAUUUCUGCUCCAAGGAUUACCACAAAGUAGACCAGAUAUUUGCAGAAACUAGAUGGGUUCGUUUCUUUGAGAUAACAGUUAACUGGGCUUUGAAUCUCUUUUUCCCUGUUUCUGUGACUGAUCAGAUAUCUACCAUUCUUAUCUUCAAUAUGUCAGUUAGGUGGUAGUCUAUUUUGUUUCUUUAAGAUAACUUUGUUCAUCUCUGUUGAUUUUGACCCUUUUGACCAGAUGAUGAUAUCAUUUCCCAGUCUUCAGGAUACCUCUUUAUUCGAUGUAUUUCCUCCCAUGUACUUUUUAUAAGAGUGAUUACUGAGCUUUUAGCUACUUCUUACUCUUUUCUAAAAAAUAUAUAUUUCUUAGGUAUAGGUGGACAGAAUGUCUUCAUUGCUGGGAGCCAUUAGCCAAGUAGGUAUGACAAUUUCCUUGCCAGUGUACCCCAUGUUGCUUAGUGGAAGGACUCGUGGAAAUAGGACAUUUUGCAGUGACAUUGCAUCUAAGGUGACCUUGCUCAAGGACCAGGGCGGAUCCGGGUUUAGGGUGUUCCCUAUUUAGGACAAUCCGGGUUUAGGGUGGUUCCAGGUUUAAGGUUAUUCCUGCUGGGAAUAGGGCGUAUCCUGCUGCCUGAGUUCCCCUUGAGUUCUCACGGGAUUCAGACAGUAUUUUUUGGGAGACAGAAGCCCAGUGGGGGUGGAUUUGGGCAGAGAACGUGGAUUUCCCCAGAACGUGAUUGUAGACGGCUGGUGUGAGUUCGGGAAUAAAGAGUUGCUGUUUGAAUCUACAAGCUGUGUGGUGGCUCGUGAUUUUGUGCCCAGCCAGACUACGGCACUUCAUUUUAUUUUAUUUUAUUGGUGUUGAGGAUUGAACCCAGAGCCUCACGUAUACCAGGCAAGCACUCUACCUCUGAGCCACAACCCCAGCCCAUACUUCUUACUUUGAUAUUUCUAAUUUUACAUUGGUUUCAGAAAUGGAAGAAAUAGGGAAAUAGGGAUAUAGAUGUAGACUACAUCAGUAACAGGCUAGUUUUAAAAUUAAGGUUUCCUAAUGCAUAACCCUUUGAUAAAUUCAUUAGUUUUCAAAAGUUAAUUCUACACUAUCAUUGUUAUUUUAAUUAGUAUACUUAUUACUUAAUUGGGCACUGAGGUACCAUUUAAAAGAAGAAAAGUCCAUUACAUACUAGGAAAAACAAUUGAUUAAAUUUUCUAGAAGUAAAAUCCAUGGGAGCUUAAAAAAAAAAAAAGUCUUGUAAAAUCAGUCACCUGGGUAUUCUGUCACUGAUUGUGUCCACAUGGGUAAAGAAAAGUGGUAAAGCCAGCAAUUGUUCAAAAUGGAGAAGCAAAACUCUGUUAGUUUUAAAUCAACUAAAGUCAAACUAGUAGCUUGGCAUUGAGAACCUGGCUAGCAUAUGAGAUUUAAGCUGGUACCAGUUUGUGCUAGCUACUCUCGUUUCCUCCAGAACCUCCUACUCCUCUGGUUUGCUGAUCUGGAUUCUGCCAAAGCCCUGAUUAGGCUUGGAAAGUCAGUCCAUUUAUGUUUAUCAGGAUGACUAUAGGAUUAGUUAUUAAAGCCACUGUGUUUUCUGGUGGAAAAUCCAAAUGGGAGGGAAUGUCAUUAUAUAUUCCAACCCCCAGGGAAACUUCCUCACCCAAAACAUUACCCCUAUUCCUCCCAUUUUCAAGAAAUCCAGUGAGCUUGGUGCUGUGUGGCACACAUCUGUAAUCCCAGUGGCUCAUGAAACUGAGGGGGGCGUGCAGGGAUGGCAAAUUCAAAGCCAGCCUCAGCAAACUCGAGGUGCUGAACAACUCAGUGUGACCCUGUCUCUUAAAAAAGGGGGGGGGGCUGAGGAUGUGACUCAGUGGUCAAGUGCCCCUGAGUUCAAUCUCCAGUACCCACCCCCAAAAUCUAGUGAGUUAAUAUUUGCUAAAUAUGUUGAUUUUUCAGAAGAAUAGGUUUUUAAGUUUUUUAAAUUGUAUGUACCCCAUUUUUUUUAUCCAAGUAGGAAUGUGUAGAGGCUAAUAAUGUUUUUUUAUUUGGAGUAAAUUCCCAAUCCAGAAUGCCAUGGUGUGAAUGUUUGUGUCCCUCUAAAAUUCAUUUUUAAUGUGAUGGUGAGACCUUUGAAGAGGUGAUUAAAUCAGGAGGGCAGAACCCUCACAAAUGGGGUUAGUGCCUCCAUAAAAGAGGCCUGAAGGGUCUUGCAUGUCCUCUCUCCUAUGUGAAGACAGAGAAAACACUGUUUAUGAAGUAGAGAGUGAUCCCACCAAAGACUGAAUCUGCCAGCACCUUGAUCUUGGCCUCUAAAACUGUAAGAAAUAAAUUUCUCUUGUUUAUAAGCCACCCAGUUUAGAGUAUUUUGUUAUAGCAGUAUGGACAAACUAAGACUCUAAAUCCAGGGAUAUAAUUUAAUGUAAUCUUAGACUAACUUUUGUUUUGGUAUGCUAAAUUCCUAUUUUAAAGUUAUACUUUAAAAAAUACUAAAAUAGCCUGUAAUUCCAGUGGAUUGGGAGGCUGAUGUAGAAGGAUCUUGAGUUCAAAGCCAGCCAGCCUCAGCAAAAGCAAGGUGCUAAGCAACUCAGUGAGACCCUGUCUCUAAAUAAAAUUAAAAAUAGGGCUGCAGAUGUGGCUCAGUGGUUGAGUGCCCCUAGUUCAAUCCCUGCUAUCUAAAAAAAAAAGACUUAAAAUGAUUGGCAUUAACUUUUUCCUAAGAAUUUAUGGUAUGUACAUUCAUAGAAAUUUCUUAAUAGCUUUUUAUUAUGGCUAAAGUAUAACCAACCGAACUUUACAAAAAAAAAAAAAAAGAAGUUAAAAUCAGAAAUAUCUAUGCCCACUUCUCUCAAGUCAAUUCAUGAAAACUGAGAAUUCACCAGAUUUAAAAAUUCUUGGCUUCUGUUACAUAGUUACUUGUUCAGACAUGCCCUUUAAUAACCAAAGAAAAAUGUUCCUUCUACCCAAGAAGGAAUAUAGUUAGAAAAAAAUGUUGGAAAUUAUGACAUUCCUUCCCUUAGCAGUAAUAAAAGGAAUAUGAGUGACUGCAUUUUAAAAAUAGCAUUUUAUAUCUAUUAAAAGAGAAAAAAAAGCUGUUUAUUACAACAGUGUCAAUACUAAAAUUAUGUGCUCAUUCUUUUUUUAAUCAACGCAUAAUAAUUGUACAUAUUCAUGGGGUACAGUGUGAUAUCUUGAUACAAAUAUUUAAUGUGUAAUGAUCACAUCAGGGCAAUUAGUAUAGCCAUAACCUUGAAUAUUUAUCAUUUUUUUUAUAUUGGGAACAUUCAGAAUUCUUUCUUCUGGCUAUUUGAAAUACACAAUUUAUUAUUAUUAACUAGAGUCUCUUUACUGUGCCAUAGAACCCAAAACUAGUUUCUCUUAUUGAUCUAUUUUUGUACCUAAUAACCAACCUCUUUCUGCCAGCCAUCCCCACCCACCUAACCUCUGAUAACCAACCACAUUGUACUCUUCUAUGAAAUCAAACUUUUUAGCAUCUGACCCUGCUGUAUUAGAGUGAGAGUAUGUACUAUUUAUUUUUCUGCGCCUGGCUUAUUUCAUUUAACAUAAUGAUCUCCAAUUCUAUCCAUGUUGUUACAAAUGACAGAAUUUCAUUUUUAUGGUUGAAUGGCAUUCCAUUGGGUGUAUACACCACAUUUUAUGUAAGCAUUUAUUCAUUGAUAGAUACCUCAGUUGAUACCUUAUUUUGGCUAUUGUGAAUAGUGCUGUAGUAAACAUCAGGAUGCAGAUAUCUAUUUGAUAUUCUGAUUUCCUGUCCCUUGAAUACAUACCUAGUAGUGGGAUGACUGUGCUCUGACUGUGCUCAUUCUUGAUGAUACUAUGAAUUAAUACAAUCUGUUUAAAAAGGAAUAUGGCAAUAAGAAACAAUAGCUGUAAAUAUAGUCAAAACUUUUGUUAUUCCACUUUGAGGAAUUUAUCCCAAUAUAAUUAUUCAAAAAAGUAAAAAGAUAGAUAAAUGAAUACACUCAUUAUCUCUUUAUACACAAUAAUAAGAAAUGAGUAUAAGCAAAAUAAUCAAUAUUAGGGUAUAGACUAAAAUUUUUAUUAAUUGCCUGUAGAAACUAGGUACCACACUCCUUCAUCAACCUUAAUUGAAACUGAGUGCCUAUUUCAUAAUACAAGUGAGUAUUACAGACACUGCAGACAAUCCAGCAGCUGACACUGAUGAAUAAUGAUCCAUUCCAUAAUAUAAUAUCAAAUUUAUAAAACUUAGUUACUAAAGUUUUAAUGAAAUUGUAGUUUCAAUAGUCAUCUAUCCUAAUAUAACCUGGUUCUCAGAGUAACCUAGUAAUUGAUGAGAAAAUUUUUUGAUAUCUUUUUAUUCUUUUUAGUUAUAUGUGAUAAUAGAAGUAUUUAGACAUAUUAUACAUACAUGGAGUAUAAAUUCUCAUUCUUGUGGUUGUACAUGAUGUGAAAUUCUAUUGGUCGUAUAUUCACAUAUGAACACAGGAAAGUUAUGUUCAGUUUAUUCUACUGUUUUUUCUGUUCUCACCUCUUUCACUCCCCUCCCUUUGUCUAAUCGAAUGAAUUUUUAUUCUCCCCCUUCCUUAUUGUGUGUUAACAUCCACAUAUCAGAGAGAACAUUCAACCUUUGGUUUUGGGGGAUUGGAUUAUUUCACUUAGCAUGAUAGUUUCCAGUUCCAUCCAUUUACUGGUAAAUGCCAUAAUUGCAUUCUUCUUUAUGGCUGAGGAAUAUUCCUUUGUGUAUAUAUACCACCUUUUUUAAAUCCAUUCAUCUGUUGAAGGGCACCUAGGUUGGUUCCAUAGCUUAGCUAUUGUGAAUUGAGCUGCUGCAAACAUUGAUGUGGCCAUGUCACUAUAGUAUGCUGAUUUUAAUUCCUUUGUAUAUAUGCUGAGGAGUGGGAUAACUGGGUCAAAUGAUGGUUCCAACUUUUCUGAGGAUUCUCCAUGCUGCUUUCCAGAUGGUUGUACCAAUUUACAGUCCCAAUAGCCAUAGUGUACCUUUUCCCCCACAUCCUUGCCAAAUUUAUUGUUGAAAUGCUUCUUUAUUAUAGUAUUAUAGUCAAUAAAUGAAGAAGGAAUAAUAGAGUUAGAAUAUCACUAUAUAGGCAUUACUAUGGCUGCUAGCAUGCCAGGAUGAUGGCAGGCAAUGUGUGGCUUCUGGGCUUCUGACAGAAAUAUGUAACAGUGAGGCAGUCUUGUCCCCCACCAAAAAAAAAAUUAUAUAAUGAUGAAGUCUUAGAUUUUAAUUUAUAGAAAAUGCACAGGCUUGAGGAACAUGUUCAAUUACUAUAUGGAUAUUCAGUCAAAGUUUAGACAGUGGGGACUCCUAUAAGGCUAUGGUCCUUUUUCUUCAAUAAUCAAAAUUUCAAGGAAAAAGAAGACCUAUGGGGAAAUUAUAGAUUAAAAAAAGCAAAAUAGAACAGACACCAAACUUCAAGAUAUAUGUGUGUGUGUGUGUGUGUGUGUAUAUAUAUCAAAUAAUAUAUAUCAUGUAUAUAUACAUUAUACAUCAAACAAUAACAAUGUAAAGACAUUGUGUGUAGUUUGCAUAAACUGUUCUUAAAAAUGUUUUAUACUUUCAAAAAGGAAAAUGUGAGUAUUGGAUAUUUAAAAGUAUUAAGUAAUUAUUCUUGAUUUAUGGGGAAGUAGUGGUAUUGAGGCUAUUUUAAAAGUCCUUUUUGUGGAUACCUAUGAUCCCAGUGGCUAGGAACUCUGAGACAGGAGAAUUGCAAGUUCCAGGCCAGCUUCAGCAAAUUAGUGAGGCCCUAAGCAACUUAGCAAGACCCUGUCUCAAAAUAAAAAAAUGAAAAAGGGCUGAGGCUGGGGCUCAGCACCCCUGAGUUCCAUCUCUGGUACCAAAAACCAGAAAAGUCUUUUUCAAAAAGGUAUGUAUUGAAAUAUAUAGAAUAAGUGAUAUGUAUUAUUUGGCAGUUCUUCAAAUAGAAGUUACAUCAAGGCUGGAGAUGUGGCUGCAUGGUAGAUCACUUGCUUGGCAUGCAUGAGAUCCUGGAUUUGAUCCCUACCACUGCAAAAGAAAAUUCACAUCAAUAUUUAUUUAUUCAUUUGAUAAUGAGGAUUGAACCCAGGGACACUUAACCAUGGAGUCAUGUCCCCAGCCCUUUUUAUUUUUUUAUUUUGACACAGAGUGUCAAUAAGUUGCUUAGGGCCUCAGUUGCUAAGACUUGCUUUGAAUUUGUGACCCUUCUGCCUCAGCCUUUUGAGUUGUUGCACCACCACACUCAUUCACAUCAGUUUUGUUUUGUGAUUGAAGCCCAUAUAAUGUGGCUUGUAUUCACCACACUUUUCCAUUUGCAAAUUAAUUUACCACAUUUGAAGGACUCCUUAUCUUUCUUCACUAGAGCCUAUUUAGAGCUUAUUUCUGCUUUAAGAAUUUUGUCUAGCUUUCCCCAGCAUCUCAAUAGCAUAUGAACUACUUCCCAGAUUUGUUUCUUGGGGGAAAAAAUCUCAAACAAUUCUGCUAUUAAAGUAUGUUCUGAACCUGGCACUGUUAUCAUAAAGGAAAGCCAUAAAAUUGGAGGCCAAUUAAACUUACAGGACCUUAUCAAAUGUACAUGAUGGAUUAAACAAGAAGUGUGAUUGAAAAGUUUUUUUAAAAAGUCUCUCUCUUGGGACUGAGGUUUUGGCUCAGUGGUAGAGCACUUGCCUAGCAUGUGUGAGGCACUGGGUUCGAUCCUUAGCACCACAUAAAAAUAAAUAAAAUAAAGGCGUUGUGUUCAUCUACAACUAAAAAAUAUUUUUAAAAAAGUCUUUGUCUUGAGGAAUGGACCAUUUAAGGACAAAAUAAUGUGGAAAUGGCUAUAGCAACAUGGAUGUUAUUGAUGUUUUACUGUGUGUGGGUCCUGGGCUAAGUGACUUGUGUAUCUGGUCCUCAUGACUCCAUGAAGAGUUACUACUGUUAUUAUUCCUGAAAUACUGUUGAGGAAGCUGAAGUAUAAAAACCUAGAUAAUUGCUCAACAUCACAUAGACACUAGACUGGCAUAGCAAAGGUUGGAACCCAGGUCUUACUAAAGUAAAAGUCCAUGCUAGGUGUGAUUACACAAAACUUGUAGUAUCCUAUUCAAUCAUGACUUCUUGCAGACUUUCUUUAUGCAGAACAAUAUACAGCAAACAGCCUAUUCAGACAUUGUCACAUGAAUGUUGUGGUUAAUUUUGUCAAUUGGUCAACUAUUGUUCUGGGUGUCUCGGCAAGGGAUGAGAUUAACAUUUUAAUUGGUAGAAUAGAGCAAGUUGUUCCCCAUAAAAUGGGUGGGCCUUGUCCAACCAGUUGAAGGUCAAAAUGGAACAAAAAAGAUUAACCUUCCCCUAAAUAAAAGGGACUUUUCCAGUAGAUUGGCUUUGGACUUGGUAAAAUCAUCUUUCUUCCUGGAUCUCUGCCUACUGGCUUUCAUUGCAGAUUAUGACUUGCCAGUCUCCAUACUCACAUAAUCCAAUUCUUACAAUAAAUUUCCUUUGAUAGGUAGAUGUAUCCAAUUGAUUCUGUUUCUCUGGAGAACCUUGACUAAUAAAAAUGUAUUUCAAGAAACCCAAAUAGAAAGAAGCAGUAUUUAAAUUAUCACUAAGAUUUGCAACACUGACAGACAUUUUAUACGAAAGUAGUCUUUCCUUCCCAUGAAUCAUUCCUGAAAUAAUGUGUUUCUAAAAACCAUGAACAGAUGAUCCUGCUUGCUAUAUUUGAUUUUGUCUUAGAGAAAAGACUAAAGGAAACAUGUUUUAGUUUUUCCAUUACCAUUUUUCCAUAUUAGAAAUGUAGACCUUCUAUUGGUCUCGUACUACUACUGUAUGGAAUAAAAUUAUUUAUCAGUUUAGUACAAAUUGGCAGCCCUCAUAAAACAAUCGCUGGCCCCAGGUAGCUUAGUUGGCAGACAGACAAGCUAAACCAUUACAAUACAAUAUGAUAUAUGCUGUACAGGAGGCAUGUCCCAAGUGCAGUGAGUACAAAGAAGUCUAAAUCUACAGGAAAGUUGGGAAGAUAGCCUUAGAAAUAACAAUUUUAAUAUAAAAAGUGAAUUUUGACUUAUUCCCUUAUUAAACACUUAUUCCAUUUGGAUCUUCACCUAAGAAAGGCACCACCCACCUUGUAUCAACACAAAAGGAAUCUUUAACCUACUUUUUCCCUUGCUACUUAGCCUUCUCAGCUUAGUUCCAGAAUUAAUAAGUAUUCUAUCUUAAAACCCAUGAAGGUUAGGCAUAGAAACGCAUGAUUUGGGAGGCUGAGGCAGGAGGAUCACAAAUUAGAGACCAGCAGUUUAGCUGAGGCCCUAAGCAACUUUGUGAGACCCUGCCUCAAAUUUAAAAAGAAAACAAAAAGCAAAAACAGCGGGGUAUGUGGCUCAGUGGUAAGUCCCCCUGUGUUUAAUCCCCAGUACUUCCCCCACAAAUACCCAUGAAGAAUUCAUGUUUUCUUGGGCAAUUCUUUUUUUUUUUUUUUCUCUUUCUGCCCUUUACAGAGUGGAAGGGUGGAUUUCAUGGUAGCAUUUUGCUGAAUUAAAUUUUACAUAUCCAAAAUUUGAUCAUGUCCCUUUUCCUCUUGUGCACUGCAGGUCUCCAGUAUCAGACCUACAGAUAAAAAUGAUUCAUAUCUCCAUUGGUUUUUCCACACUCAAAUGCAAUUAAGGAGUUUGAAAUUGUUCAAAAUAUAAAGUUUUCCUCCUUUCCUGGAUUAAUUUUUUUUGUGUGAGCCCUCCCUGGGAAGUUGUAUUUAAGAGCUUGAUCUUCACUGACAUUAAUGAGAUUAACUGACAUUAAGCAGCCCCUUUAUGCCUAUUUAUUUAGUCAGGGGCAAACAAGUGCUUCAAUGCAUGCAAGAACUUAGUGCUCAGACACUGAACUCCUUGCCAACUUGAGUCUUCUAGCAUCUUUCUUGAUUUCAUUAGAAUCUUUACUUAGAACACAUUUUCACAUCUGUUGUUAAGAAAGUAGAAAUAAUGGUCAGAUUUUUAGCAUAAUUCUGUGGUGUGUAUAUAAUAUAUAUGUGUGUGUAUGCAUAUAUGUAAUAUAUAUGCACAUAUAUACAAAUUUCAUGAUCAUAAAAGAGUUUCUGUCCCUUGAUGUCCUUUUUUCCCCCCUCACAAAAUGGCAUUCUGAAUGAUGGCACUAGGAAGGAAGAGGAAUUUUGAGCCAAGACAGAUUUGUAACUUACUGACCAGGGAUAUACUGGGGAAGGUGUACAUGUGGCAUCUUGCUGUUUGGAAUCACAACAGCUUGAUGAUGUCUUGUUAGGGUUAGGACAGUGGCCACAACAAAGAUCAGUUUGUUUCAUGCAGGGGUUGAUGGCCAAAGGGGAUCUGAUUUGAAAGGGCAGAGCAGUUCUGGAUGUUGUGAGGACUACAUUAUAAACCAAAGAGGUGUGUUUGUGAGGAGGUGAGAUACACCACAGUCUGGUCCUGGAAAUAAGGACAGUAGCUGGGAGACAGUGAGGACCCCAGGCAGCUUACCAAGGCUCAGAGCUGGGUUCUAUUCUCACAGACUGAGAAAGCAGAUAAGAAUGGGCACCAAGGACCAAUAUGAACUUGGUCAGCUUCUAGAUAGAAAUAAUGGCUCCUUGGUGUCACUUGGGCAUCUGGGACUGUCUUUUCAUCGUGGGGCGUUUAGGUGAGCAGACAAGCAUCAUCCCCAGAUGAGAACUGGUGGGAAUUAAGUUUGGGUUUUGGAAAGUUAAAGGUCUAGACAACUGGGAUGGAGCUCAUAUUUGGUGUAGAGUCCUAGUUGGAAAUGACCUGAGAAAUGAGAACCAGAGAUUCAGAAUGGAGGACAGUGAUGGCAAGCUGACCAUAUGAGAGAUGCUAUCAAUGCUUUCCAAGUUCCAGGUAAUGGAUGGCGUUGGUAGUAUAAUGGUGAGCAUAGCUGCCUUCCAAGUUCCAGGUAACGUUUGCACUGAUAUCUCAUUGCCCGGAAUUUAAGCACAUUGGCUACAACCACCUGCAGGAAAGACUGGGAGAUAUAGUUUUUUAUUCCAAGUGGCAGUUUGCCCAAAUAAAAAUUUGAGAAUUUGGGAUUCUCUUAAGAAAAGUUAUACAGGGAGGCAGUUUUGUUUUUGUUUUUUAUCACAAUCUCCAUGUUCUCUGUAAAACACAAAACAAAAACCAAAUCCUGACUGCCACUUCUGCCAUUUACUAGUAGUAUGUCCACAUGCAAAUUAAUUAACUCAUAUGACCCUCAGUCCCAUCAUCUGUAAAAUGAACAUCUGGCCCACAGUUUUGUGAAGAGUAAAUAAAUUUAAUACAUGUUGAUCAUACUAAAUACAUGUUGUUGUUUUUUUGUAUGAAGCUGGUUAUGCUUUUUCUUGACCAUUUUCGUUUGCUAUUUUCCUGGUAUUAUUUUUAAUUCUUGGAUCAAGAUUACCCUGGGGCAUCAUUCUAGCUAGAUGUUACCUAGGCAAACAAGAAAGGAAAUCUAUUUGAUUCUACUCAUCUAAAGUUCUGCGUCCCCCAGGAAGGGAGUUGAUAGUAUAAAAAACAUUAUGUGAAUUCUCAGUAUUUAAUAAUUAUAAGUUGCUCAGCAACUCUUGAAGAAAUUUACUAAUUUGGGUCUAAAUUGGUUUACUCCUGAAUGGUGCCUGAAGAGAAUUAAGUAUGUCAUCCAGAAAACAAAAUUAAGGUUAUAAUUUAUUAGUAUUUUUUAUGUGUCUGCCCUAAAUUCAAUUCACAGUAUGUGGAACCUAACCACUGCAGUACUUGCUAUCUUACAGUAAAACAUUUCUGGAAACAUUUUUCUUUUUCAUGUGACUGUCACCUGUUAGUCCUCAUUGUAAUCAUGUACUCAUGCCUUUGGCUCCAGCUCUUGUUUGCUAGUUCACUGUUAAACUUAGAUUAGCUAUGAACUCAUGGCGAAGCUCAGUGGUUGAAUGGGGCUUGAUUGUUCUCCUUUGGACCUCUCUUUGCAUUUUCUUUCUUAUCUUGGUAACCAUAGAAACUCGUUGGAAGGUGAAGUUGGACCAGAUCCACAGUUGGCAGUGACAGUUGCAUGAGUUGCAUGCUUUGUGGAUGAUUUAAUACAAAAGGUAAAGGGUUGAAGCCUGAACAGCAACUAUUCUGGCUUUGAAGGAAGAUGGUAGAAAGAGCAUUUAUUGCCUUUGUGCUUCGGAAUCCUCUGAGCCCCUUCUCUUUCUCUACUUCAGGUCCCUUAUGCCCACCCUGUUGGUCAUUCUGUUCCAUUUAGGUUCAACCGUCUUUGUCUACUUCUACUGAUCUGGCUGUCUGUGUCCUCUCUCAAGGUGUGCAUCAAAUGUAAAAUUUUGAAGUGAGAGCACCCGAUUCUCAACAUCCUGCUGUGUAUUAUGAAAUAAAACCUACUCCUCAGAAUUAUUUUGAGGAUAAAAUGAAAAAAAGAAGAAAUGUAUUUGUGUAUAUGCUUCUGGACAUACAGUAUUCUGGACAUACAGUAUUCAUAUAGGUAUUCUAUAAAUGUUGAUCUAUUUCCUUCUGUAUUCAUCUUUGUCCCCUUACCAAUUCCAUGUUCUUUUUACCUCUAAAACUUUACUACUCAAAGUGUGCGCCUGGACUAGCAACAUGGGGAAAGCCCCGCCCAGAGACAGGAAAUCAGAACCUACUCUUAACAACCUCUCAGAUGAGCUGGAGAAGCACUCUCUAGAACAAAGACCUCCUAACUUUUCAUACCCCCGUCCUGAAAGAAAAGGAUCAAGGGCACCACUCAUUGCAUGCCCACUCUUGCCAGGUGCGAUCUCCUGGCUGCAUUUCCUUUCUCUUCACUCUGUGAGUUUGGCAAUGUUAUUGCCCCUUUACCUAUGAGGAAAUGGGGACUAGGGAAAGUUAACUCAUUGGCCCAAGAUUAAGCAGGAAUGCUGCAGGGGAGACUCACACCCUGAAUACUUUCUACUACUACAAAAUCACUUCGGCCUACAGGUUUUUAUGGCUUUAGGAGAAGACAGGAGGGGGCAAAGAAAAUUAAAGCCAACAACCCCCCAAAGAUAGAGACAUAUAAACAGGUAACUUUGGGUUUUGUUGAAUUCAAUAGAGAAUAUCCUUGGAUUGGGGAUGUAGCUCAGCGGUACAGCACUUGCCUAGCAUGCAUGAGGCCCUGGGUUUGACCUCCAGCACCAGGAAUGAACACUGCGUCCUUGAUGACUGAUUCCAGUGGUUCUCAAUUCUUUUCCAAGUGGCUUGCCCUUUAUUUGAUAUUGAUAUAUAUUUUGACACCUAAGAGAGGAUAAUAAAAUAUUUCACAUAUACAAAGUGGUUGUUUAAUUUUCAGUUUGUUUAGUGAAAUGAUGUAUCAGCUGAGUAUAGCAUCUAACUUGGCAUGUGAGUGUUUUGCUUUGUUCUGAAUUUUUUUCAGAUCCAUUUUUUUCUCUCAAUUAGAUUGUAAGAUUAAGAGAAAACUGAGUCUGUCUUUCCCCUUCUCCCCUCCUGUCUCUUUCCCCUCCCUCUUCCUUUUCUUUCUUUCUAUCCUCCUUCUUUCUUUUUACCCUCCUUCCUUUCUUCCACACAAUUUUGUAAUGGCAAGGAAACACACACACACAUUUCUGGAGUGGGAAAUAAAAUUCAAUUUCCGGUUAUCUAUCUAACAAUUUUGGUUCAUUUGCUAUCAAAGGUUUACAUUUUAUUGAUGCUUCUUAUUUGGGCAAGGAAUCUAUGCUGAUCAAUUUCAUUUUAGAUCAAGAGACAGUAUCAUAUUUUUUCUUUUAUAUUCAUUUUAAUGUCUUAAAUUUCUUAUGCUAAGAAUAAACUCCUGGUCAGGCAUGGUGGGGCACACCUGUAAUCCCAGUGUCUGGGGAGGCUGAAGAAGGAAAAUCACCAAGUUCAAAAACCAGCCUCAGCAACUUAGUGAGGCCCUAAGCAAUUUAACAGGACCCUGUCUCAAAAUAAAGCAUAAAAAGGGCUGGAGAUGUGGCUCAUUGGUUAAGUGCCCCUAGGUUCAAUCCCUGGUAUGAAAAUAAAUAAAUAACUCCCUAACUAUGACUUUUGAAAUGAGGAAUACAUGAAAACAGGUUUGCAUUCCCUAUUAAAAUAAAGAAUUGGAAGUGAUGAAACCUUUAAAAAUUAACUGAGGGCUUGGAGGCAUAUCUCAUUGGUAGAAUAUGUGCUUAGCAUGCUCAAGGCCUUGGGUUUGGUCCCCAGCACCAAAGUAAAUAAAUUUUAAAAAGUUAACUGAAAUAUUUGUUUCCAAUGUGAAUUUUAAUAAUUCUACCUGUCAUUCCAUAGGGAUCAAGAUAAAUAAAAUCUGGUAAAUGUUUUUACCUUUCUAAAGUAAAAUAUUUUACCUUUAUAACAUUCUGAAAAAUAUCUCUUCAAGUAUCCAAGAUAUAUACAAUACUGUAAAUUCAGAUCCUUAUUUGAUCAAUCAGAGUUCAAAUUGGUGAACUGGAGCAGUUGACCAAUUUUCCCACCCUUAUAAGAUUAAUACACCAGACAACAUUUCCUAAUGAAUCAGAAAAGGGAUAAUAACAAAUUACUAAAUGGAACAAGUACUUAAAAAAACAAAAAUAAAAAAAAAAAAAACCUCUCUACUGGGGCUGGGGGUGUGGCUCAAGCGGUAGCACGCUCGCCUGGCAUGCGUGCGGCCCGGGUUCGAUCCUCAGCACCACAUACCAACAAAGAUGUUGUGUCCAAUGAUAACUAAAAAAUAAAUAUUAAAAAAAAAAAGAUUCUCUGAGAGAAAAGCAGGAGUCUACUUUAAAAAAAAAAAACCCUCUCUACUUAUUGAAGCUUAUUAAGACAUCAUUCUGUAAGAGAAAUCAGUUAUCUGAUUUUACCCACUGUGGACACCAAGACUGUGACUGUAAAAGCCAGGCAGUAUCCCUCCAUUCCAGAUAGCUAUCUGCUGUGGGGAUGAAUUUCAGUUCACAAACCUAGCUGUGCAGGAAGUAUCACAUGCCUUUAUUUUAUCCCAGCAACUGAAAUCAGACUAGGAGACCUCUCCCCCACCCCCACCCCAUCCUGAAGCAAAGCUGGGCCUUCACUCACUGUUGUGAUUGGCUUUCAUCUCAACAGACCCUGCUGAGAUUCUGGGGAAACACUGACCAUUCUAGUUCAUGAUAGUGAUCCACCCUGGUUUCUACUGACAUGCCUGUGUCUUAUCAGAUGGUCUGAGGGCUUAGCAGCUUCUGGACAAUGCUAGUGAUAGGAGACUCAUGCGGGGUCCUGGGAGCCCCUGUGUCUGAGGUCUGUCUUCCUAAGAACACUACAGGUCUUCCUUGGGAGGCCUUAGGUCCUCUGGGCACUGCCACCAUGCAAUGCACGUCCCUCUGCUAAGAGCCCAUUGACUUCCAUCCCUCAUCCAGUCCCCAAGAGUUCUGUUUUCUCUCUUUUCUGCUUAAAAACUACUUUCCUCUGUCUUGUUCUGUACCAAGACACCAAGGGCUAUGUUUACUGUAGACUUAGUUUAUACAGAAAACUAGAAGGGUCCUCUGACUUCCUAUGUACACUAUCAGCUCUAAAAAUUCCUGAGGGCAGAAAUUAUAAAGCAUUUUCUUUCUUGCUGGAGACUGGAUAAAAAUGAGAGAAUUGACUAAACUAGAAUUUUAAAAAUUCAGAUAUGGAUCUAUACCAGUCCCUUAAAGAAGAUUCUGUUUGUUUGUUUGUUUUUAAGUGUGGAAUUUUAUAAAGAUAAUAGAGAUACCUAUGAUUGAUUCAGUUUACUCUAGAAUAGAAUCUCUGUGUACUUUGCUGUACUCUACACUAAAUAUAUACAAUUUCAAUGUAAAUGUUCAGUGCCUGCUGCAGCUGGGAGGACCUGGGAGCCUGGGUUCAGGUCUGAUCUGCAUUCCUUUCUUUUCUAGCUUCUGCCAAUCCUCUUCCAUGUGUGUUCCCUGCUGACCUUGUCUCAUAUUGAGACAUCAGUUUGUUCUAAUAGGGCCCAUUUACAUUAGAUUCUUAGCCUUUGCUAAUGUUGGCUCUCAAAGUUUUCUUUAAAUUCUGUGAAAAGACUUUAUCUCUGCAUUAACCCAGGAGGAUUUUUCUAUUCAAUAGGCUGAAGGAUGCCUGACACCUGCUAUUCCUGGUAACCUGGGGGAUUCAACAAUGUACACUUCCCUUUGCCUCUAAUCUGGGCACUCUUUGUCCCCUACUUUUAUUGUGCAUUUCCUCUCUUAUUGCAGCUCAUGGGAGGCAUAAUAAACUUCAUGUGUUUAUGAAGUUUAUAUUUCACAAAUCUCCAAAACAUUUAUUUAUAAUAGCAUUCAAUAGUCCUCCUUCUGUAUAUCCCAGAGACAUUGUUGUACAUCAUUCUUGCUAUGAUAAAGAUUCUAGCAGGGGCUGGUGUUGUGGCUCAGUGGCAGAGCACUUGCCUAGCUUGUGUGAGGUACUGGGUUAGAUUCUCAGCACCACAUAUAAAUAAAUAAAAUAAAGGUCCAUCAACAACUAAAAUUUUUUUAAAAAAGAUUAUAGCUGCAUUCACAGAAAAUUGCUUCAUUUUCAGGAAAUUUUAUUGUGAAAAUCUUAAGUGUCUUCCUUUUGCUAAUUUAAAUUCUUUAUCAAUUCUUUAUCUUAAGUCUAGUUUAUUAAGUCAAACACUUUUUUUUUUUGUUUUUGUUUGUGUUUUGGGUGAUUUUGGUUUUGGGGGAUGGAACCAAGGGCAAGCAAGCACUGAAUUGCUGAUCUUUAUACCUCUAGCCCCAGAGUUUUAUAAAUUAUAUCCUAUUUUAAAUUAUUAAAGUUUUGGGCUGGGGAUGUGGCUCAAGCGGUAGCGUGCUUGACUGGCAUGCGUGCGGCCCAGGUUCGAUCCUCAGCACCACAUACCAACAAAGAUGUUGUGUCCGCCAAAAACUAAAAGAUAAAUAUUUAAAAAUUCUCUCUCUCAAAUUAUUAAAGUUUUAUAAAUUAUAUCCUUCUUUAAAAUAGGAUAUAAUUUAUAUCUGGAUAUGCUGAUAAAAUUUCUGGUAAACUCUUUGGGUAGUGAAGAGUUGCUUGAUAAGGUAUCACUUUGCAGCGUGAUGAAUGAAUUAAUAAUAUAGGCUUAGAAACCAGACUGCAUGGUUUUUUAAUUCUACCUUCACAACUACUGUGUGAUGUUGAACAUACUACUUCAACUCACAGAGCCUCCAUAAAAUGAAGAUGAUAAUAAUAUCUACUUUACAAGGCUGUUAUAAGGAUAGAGUUAGAAAAUACACAUAAAGAAAUUGGGGAAAUGCCUGACAUGUUUAGUACUCAAUAAGUUAAUGGUAGCUAUUAUUAAUAUUUCUUUAUAGAAUGAGGCACCACUGGAAAUGAUCAUGGUAUGCAAUUCAUCCCACUAAUUAUGAGUAAUUAUUCCGUGUUCAUUUGCUAAAAAUCAUUGUAUAUGAUAUAUAUGACAUGUUUGCUUCUUAUAAUAACAGUGAAGCUUUAGAAAAUCCACCAUGUGUUAUCAAACGUGAUUGUCUUCCAGAGCUGUUGAGUAUGAUCUCAGUCAUCAGAGUGGAAAAUCUUACUGUAGAAUUAUAUGAAAUACCCUUAUGAGACUCUCUGUUACACACCCACCCACCAAACAACACCUACACAUUCACACAUGCAUAGCAAAAAGUAUGCAUGCCUCAGCGUUUGCAUACUAAAGAGCAAACAAGAAAACCUCUCUAAAAAUGUAAUUUAAUUUUUCAUAAGAAUUUUUAUUGUCAUUUAGUACGUAGGCAUUCAAAUUUUACCAUUGCUUUUUUUUGUGAUACUGUAUUUUAACAUAGCAUCAAUCAAUCCUUUUGAAAUGAGAUGUAUUUUCUUCUUUCUUAAAUAUCAAUCCUAAUAACAAUGGAACCUAUCAUUCAUUGACCAAUGUCUUCAUGCCUGUUCUUUCCUUGUCUUAACUUGCAACACUUCUGUGAGAUGGAUAACCAUUAUUUUCAUUUGAGUAAUUUGCCUAAGGUUAAUAGCCUGUGAGUGGUGGAGCCAAGAUUUGAUCCAGAUAAUCUGAAUAUGGCACUAACUUGUUUUAUUAUUGUACCAUAUCCUGCACUAAGAUCUCUGUUAGUGAGAUCUAACAUCAAAAUGCCUUGCUGGGAUUUGCAUUUGCCCCGGGGCUGAGUGUAACAAGUAAAUAUCAGAAAUGUGACUAUAUUCCAAUGAACUUUUAUAACAUUUUUGUAAAGUAUUUUAUGUAGAAACAUACCCUAUGCAGUGAACAUAGAUUUUGUUCUCUAAGCUCUUUUUUCUUUUUUAAUUUAAAACCAAUUCUAAAUUGGUAUAGUGAAAAAUAACUUUGUAAAGGAAUGUGUUGAGUGAGGCUGUGAAAAUCUAAUGUUGUCUAGUAUUUUAUUUUUGAAAUGUUUAUAGAUGUUGAAUUUCCCAAUUACGGGGGGACAAUUCUUCACUUUGCAAAAAAGAUCCAGCAUUUUCUAAGAAUUUAAUUAUCACAUUAACUUAACACGAACUCCCUACAGCUUUGCAAAUAUUACCCACUGUCUUCUGGCCACAGAAUGAAAAACAAGUUGUCAUUGAGUUACUGGCCUCAGGAAUGUUGGGCUGAUAGGGGAAAGUGUCCUCCCUUAUUAAUUCUAAGAAGCUUUUAAAAAUGAAUGGUGUAUAAAUGACCUAUUGGAUUGUACAGGAAUUCCUUAUCCUUUGCUUCAUUGAUCAGAACUCCAGCUGAUAGACAACUGUUUGUUCUGUGAAGCUGGGAAGCCCAUGAAAAUUCCCUAUGUUGUUCUUUUUCAUAUCUCAGGCUCAGGCCAUGUGGGUAGAUUUGCGAUGGGAUUUGGUAUUAGGGUAAUAAUUAAGAUCUUUCCCUAUCUGCAAGCUUAUUUGAUAUUGAAUUCCCUUCAUGAUCAUUCUUGUUGAAGGUGUGCCCUGUGCCUUUUAGAAUGGCCCCAUAGGUACCUGAGAGCUUAUCAUCAUUUUUCAGGGAAGCCCCUAACUUCCUUCUGUUGUUUCCUUUCUUGUCUUCCUUCUUUCUCCAUUCGUUCCUUUCUUUUUACGGGCUCCUUAUAAUGUCUGUUUUUUUUUUUUUAAAUACUUCCUUUAGGGCCAUACAAAAGAAAUCCAUUGUUUUGUACAAUUAAUUGGAGACAAUUAUUAUUAUCUAUAUCUACAUCCAUCAAUCUAAGAAUCACUCUAUAUUAAAGGUUAUAAGUUCCUUUAGGCUUUUUUUUUUGUGUGUGUGUGUGUGUGUGUGUAUGCUGGAGAUCAAAUCCAGGACCACACAUAUCAUAGACAAGCACUCUACUACUGAGCUCCACCUCAUCCUAAACAUUUUUUUUUUUGUAAAACAAUAUAGCUAACAUUUAUUGAGUGCCUACUAUGUAUCGGACACUGUGUGCACCAUUUCUAAUCCUUAUGAUCCUGUCAGGUGACUCAAUAAUACCUAAUACUUAUUCAUCCUGUAUAAUUACCUCAUGUAGGAUAUGGUAAACACAAAUGUAGAACCUAUAAUAACAGUUGACACAUAGUAACUUUCAAUUGAUAUUAAAUGUUAUACUUCUGUAAGAAUUUGGAGGUCUUCCACUCAACUUCAGUGUUCUUCCUUUAUUCUUUUCUCCUUAUAUUUUUAACUUGAUAUGAUUAACCUGAGGAAACCUUUUGACUCUUGGCGAACUAGUUCUCCCAGUUUUGUCUUAACCACAUAUUUUAGUCCUUAAAGCCAUUCAGAAGAAUACUCAAAGGUCAAAGAUGAAGGUCUGCAUUUUUCAAAAGCUUCAGAUUAUUCUGAGCCCAGUCUUCUUUGCACAGUUCUCUGAGGUCUGUUUCUUCCAUGAAAGAAGCACUAUUCUGAGUAAGAAGUAUGACCCCUGAGCAGUUGAGUUUCAGCUCUAAUGGAAGACCACUAUAAAUACAACUCUACUUUGAGGUUCACCUAUUAAAAUUCAUCUUGAAACACUGUAACUUUUCUGAACUCAAUUAAGGGGAAGGGGAAAGAGUCAAUGCCUUUGGUUGAUCAGGUACAGGUCUGCUGGUAGCAGCUGCCACUCUAGCCUGAGCACUGGUGUAGAAAGGUGUUUAUUGUUUAGGGAACAUGAUUUAGUAAAAAGGCAUAUGAAUUUUACAGUUGGUCAUCUAGGAUACUGUGUUUUAGCUCAGCAUCAUUAUUUUGCCCCUAUAAGCAUUAGCUUGGACUUUUGAUCCAGUUUCAUUUCUUUGAACAGUGCAAGGACUCAUGGAACUGGUCUAAGUGGUUAGACAGACCUCGGCAACCAGACACUUGUGGCUGCUGAUUUAGAAUGUUCCUUUUUAGGGAGAUAUUCUGGAAUGAAGAUGACACAGUUAGAUUUACGGAAUGUGUGAAGAAGCCUGCCAGAAAGAGAUCUGGACUUUGAUUCUUGGGAGCUAUACAAUCCCAAGUGGUGUUGAAAGCUGGUUUUGGCCUGCAUACGAUUGUGUCAGUUCUUAAGCUCUUUCUUUUCUAAUUUUUCCUUAUAACUUUCAUUUCACAUAGAGUUUACCUGCCUUUCAAAGCACACAAGGUCAUCCCUUUUAUCAUCUGUGUGUGUCAUCAAAUGUCAGGACCAAGAGCAGAGGCCUGUUUUCCAUGAAACAAAGGAAAUGUAAGCAUUUGAAUUCCUGUCAUGCCUGAGCCCCCUUCCCAGAUCCCAGGAAGGGCCCUAGCAAGGUAUUUAUAUUGUUAAAGGAUAGAAGAUACUUUAUUUAUUUAUUCACAGUACUGAGGUUUGAACCCAGGGCCUUGGGGAUGAGCAAGAUCUCCACCACUGAGCUACACUCCCCAGCCCAAUGGAUACAUUUUUUUUUUUAAUCUUUUUUUUUUUUUAAAGAGAGAGUGAGAGAGAGAAUUUUUUAAUAUUUAUUUUUUAGUUUUUGGCGGACACAACAUCUUUGUUUGUAUGUGGUGCUGAGGAUCGAACCCCGGCCGAACGCAUGCCAGGCGAGCACGCUACCGCUUGAGCCAAAUCCCCAGCCCUGGAUACAUUUUUUAAAACUGAUAGAAGCAUGACCCUUGUACAAAUAAGAUGAACAUUGUCAAGUAUCUUAUUUAACUCAUUAAUUAAUGAAGGAACAUAUAAAAAGUUUUAUAUGUAUAUUAAACAAUAUAUCUAACUUCUUAUAUGUUUAUGUGUUAAUUAGGAUUGCUGAGAUACAUUUACACAUAGACCCAAGAGAAGUCAAUAUUCACAGAGCCAUAAUCAAUUGUAUCCUACAAGAUAACAUGCAUAUCUUUAGACAGCAAUCAUUUAUAUCACUAUAUGUUUUCUAUAACUUCCUAAGUUGUAAAAUGGCUAAAGAACAGAGGCUCCUACAGAGACAGACAACCAAUAUGCUAGAUAAGACACUCAGUGACUUUUUUUGGGGGGUGGGGGGGGGGCGGGAGGAGUCCCUCUCAAACUCGUUCACAUUUUUUUUUCUUAGCAAUGUGGUCAUAUGUUUUUGCAAAAGAUUAAUUUUGCCCUAACUUUCCCCUCUGACUUGCCCUUUAUAACUUCUUCCCUCAUGGCCUUGGAGUGGCCAUGAAUGCUUUACAGAUCCAGUUGUGGGACAAUUGAGCUGGAAGUACAUUUAGUGGAGAUUGAAUUUACAUGGUUCACCUUCAGUAAAAUGAUUGCUGUCCGUUCCAAUAGGAAAUGGAAUGGCUUCUGAGAAUAUUUCUCCCAAUUUUUGUGCUGCCUCACAUGUCAUUCUUCACCCAAAGGAGAACAGAAUCAGAAUUCUUAAGAUGUGUUUAUGUUCCACAACACCACUGGAGGCAAUUAAAAAUGUUAGGAGCCAGAAAUUCGUCUGUUGAAAAUUUUUCAAAUGUUAUAGAUCAUUCUUUAAAAAGCUUGAUUGAGGAGCUUUCCCCAAAUUUGAUAACAUCCUAAAUAUUUAUAUGACCUUAUCAAUAUGAGUUGUGAAGCUUAAAUAAGUUUUGAAAUAUACCAAUAAUAAAACGCAAGAAACCAAAAUACUGAAUUAUUUUUCUAUUUCAUUAUAGAAAAUAUUAUAAAAUGCCUUUCAAAUGAACUGAUUAAAGAAUAUACAGACAAAAAUGUAGCAGAUGUCAAGCGGUGGUGCAUGCCUGUAAUCCCAGAGGCUUGGGAAGCUGAGGCAGGAGGAUCUUGAGUUCAAAGCCAGCCUCAGCAAAAGCAAGGCACUAAGCAAUUCAAGGAGACCCUGUCUCUAAAUAAAAUACAAAAUAGGGCUGGGGAUGUGGCUCAGUGGUAGAGCAUCCCUGGGUUGACUCCUCAGUACUGUAAAGGAAAAAAAAAUGUACCAGAUAAAUAUUGUGUUAUGGAGGACUACCAGGUAGUUAAUUAUUAAAAAAAAAAAUUGUUGCAUUUUGGAUCUUGUGAUAUUUGUGACUUCUCAGCUUUCAGAAUUUAUAGUUGUCAUUUAUUUUCCUAUUCUAAAUAAAUAUUCAUGUUAACACUUUUUCUGUCUUUUUCAAGCUUUCAGUUGUCCACAUCUGACAGCAGACACAGUCUCCUGCUUCUGUCUGACCAAGCUUACAGUCAAUAAAUGUUGAUUUCAUCAGAUAGUCACAGGAAUGUGUAUUGGACAGCUGUAGCUUUUGCUCACCCAGAACACAUGCUUUCCUCUGGAAAUAACACUUUUAUGUUCUACGGGAACCUGCUUUUUUCCCACUUUAUUUCCCCCCUCUACUUUAACCCAUGUAGUUUGAUAAGGGGUGACAUCAUGCUACUAGUUCCAGGAUUGAGCCCCUGACUCAGGCCUUACAAAUCAGUCAGCCUUAGGAUUUUUGAUGAACAAUGGAAGAAGAGUCCUCUCUUUCUACUAAUGACGCUGCACUUCACCAGCAUUAAGUCUGUAAAUGGUGACUUAGGAAGAACGUCCCUGACAUUGAAGCCAAGUCAGCCAAGGGGUAGAGGGAGAGAGAUUCCUAAUGAAUUGCUUGAGUAUUUAGAUUAAUCACAGUUAAAGGUAGGUUUUUUUGACUUUUUCAUUUAGAAGUGUGCCAAUACAUUUUCUUUUUUAAUUUUUUCCAGUUUGAACUUUUUUUUUUUUGCAAUUGAAAACUUCUAGUUAAUAUAAGAAAAAAAUGUUCCUGAGCAGGGGUAUUUUGUGAAGAUUAAUCUAGUCACCAAUAGUUUACAGAAAGCAAGAUGUGGCAGUGGAAUAGAAAAGAAAGAAAGGGGAAGCACCCAGGAAGAAUUAAAAGGACUUGAUAGCCAGGGUUGGUGGGUCUGUUGUCCCAGCUAUUCAGGAGACUAAAGGAGAAGGAUUUCCUGAGCCCAGGAGGUUAAGACCAACCUGGGCAACGUGGCAAGACCCUGUCUCAAACAAAGAGGGCUUGGUAAUUAGAACAAGAAGAGAAAACAAAAAUGACUGGAAUUUUGAGGCUGACUUAAGAUGUGAAUGGAGGCACCACUGAUAGAAAUCUGUGAGUCAGAAAAGGCACUGUGUUCCCCUUUGCCCCAGGGGCAAAUCACAUUUAUUUUUAGGCUUUGAGUUUGAGGCGAUGAUAAAUAAAUCAAGUGGAACUAUUUAGGAGAUAGUUAAAAUGUACAAUUAAACCCCAGGAGAAAACUUAAGAUCCAAAACAUAAUAAGUGAAUGUCCUGCCAAGAUGGAUCAGUGUGAUCUGAGGGAGAGGUCAGUCUGUAACAGGAUGAGCAAUGGGCCCAUACACAAGACCGUCCCAAGGAGCAGGGCUAGGAAUGAAUCAGGCUGAUUCUCAGCCAGAUAUCUAGUCUCCACACACUGCAGUCCAGGAAGCAAAGUCUGUGCAUUGGAGACAUGCCACCCGGGUAGGCACAGCUGCUCUAAAGUACCCGGCAAGCCUGGAGUUGAGUAUUUGAAGAUUUUGUGGGAAGUGGUUAUAGAGAAGAAAGGGGUGAGGAGGGAAGAUAAAAGAGAUGGGAGGAUGCUAGAAAAUUCUUGAAAUUCAAACAGAGAACAUUUCAAAUAGGGGAUCAUGGAGAGCAGAGAAGGCAGAGAGACUAGGUGAGCAUCACUGGAGAAUGUAGAUGCACCCGAAUGCAGGAGGUGGAACUAGAUUCCACCCAAAGUGAAAAGACGUCAUGAAAGUAGAAUCAGUAGGUGGAGACCAGAAGUUUGGCAAAGAAAGAGGAGAGGGGCAGGGUGGUAUAAAAACAGAGCGACUUAGCCUGGGUUGUUUGUUUUAUUCUGGGGCUGAGAAGCUUGCUUCAGAGGGUAAGCAAAAGGGAAAGGCCAGUGGAUCAGAACAGAGUAAAGCUACUGGGUGGGGGUGGGGGGAAUUUAACAGAAUAAGGAAGGAGGCAAGAUCAACAGUGGGGGAGAAAGCAGGUGGCAAAGGUAGCAUGCAUUAAGUGUCUGAAACUGGUGGAGAGAAUGAAAGAAGGAGUGUAAAGAGAGAUGCUUGGAGGCAGAAUAGACAGAAGAGGAAGCACCUCUCCUGUUGUGAGCAUAGGUAAGACAGUAACUCGAGGUGUCUGCUAUAUUCAACAGACUCCGAUGAAUCAAAUUACAGUGUGGAUGUCCAAAUUGCUUUUCUCCCCAUGAGACUUCACAGAAGAUUAUGUUACUGAAAACUGAUGUUUGAGCUAGGAAAAAAAAAUUAAAAGGAUACAAGUCAGCUACAUGCUUUAGCUUUGUAACUUUCCAUGAAAAUAGGGCAAUUGUUCCUGUUGUCAUGACAAGUAGAUAGUGCCAACCUAUCAUGACAUAGUACGUACAAUACAACUUGUCAUCUCUUAUGCUGACUUAAUUGACAUGAUAUAAAUUUCAUAACUGUGUGCUGUGAAAUUUAUACUCCAUUCUCUGGGAGGAGCCCAGAAAAGCCAAUUAUCAAGUUUGGCAGCUUUGUGAGUAAUAACUUCUUCCAGACAAGAAGAAAGACUUGUUAUGAAUCAGAGGCAGAGCCAGGAGGAAGUCCACCCUUCCUUCUCACUCUCAGAUCAAACUACUAGAAGGAAGAAACCUGUUGGGAAGCAAGUCCUUGAGGCUUGUCUGAUAAAGGUUGUUGCCGUCAGUCACCCUGCUCUCCCCACCUUCUCUCCCCUUUCUCAAAUUAUUCUUCAAGUCUAAUCCUGUUCCUUCCUGGCACCCUCUGUGCUCUUGGACACACUCCAUUUUGAAUCUAUAGAAGAAAAUAAAAAAGCAGUGGCAGGACUGGGCGGGCAGGUGAGUGAAGCAGGGCGUGACUCCCUUAUUAAGACCUUCAUACUUAAAGACAGUUACUUCAAAGAAGCCUGAGCAAGGGAACCCCAAGAAGUCCAAGCCUAUGCAUGUAAGGGCAAAAGAGUGUGGGAAAACAUAAUUAUUUCUUGCUGGAACCAUCUCAAGCAUCAUGGAUUAGUGAUGACAGAGUUGAAUUUGAUCCUGUGACUAUGACAGAUGAGAUGGUCCAGAGUGAAGAGGUCCUAAUAAAUGGACCAAGAUCCAACUUGUGGAUCUCUGCUGCAAUCCAUCAAUAUGUCCUCUUGGUUUAUCUCUACCCAGGUCUACCUAGGUCUAGGUCAUCGUUGUCUCUCUCCUGGACUCCAGCAAUACCCUUCUUCCUAGACUUCCUCAGUACCCCCUUCCUUUCCCCUCCACCCCAAUCCAUUCUCCACAUACCAGCCAUCAAAAUCUCCUUUAAUAAUUAUUCAGAUCAGGUUGCUCCUCAGCUCCAAACCCUUCAACACCCUCCUUGACACUUAAAAUAAAAACAAUUUCCUUUCAUACCUCUCUCCUCUUUUCUUCCUCUUGUCCCCUGUUCACUGUGCUCCAGCUGCACUGUUAUUGGUCUCCUGGAAUACCCUCAGCUCCUCCUGCUGCCCUUAAUGCUCUUUGGAGCAAAGACUAAAGCAUGAGACCCAAACCACCUUGCUGAUUCUUUCCUUGGUCCUUCCACCAUUCUUAUCUAAAAUAGCCCCCUUCCUCAUAGUUUCUCUGUUUGGUGCAGGUUCAAUAUCUCCUCUAAAAUUAUUCUGUUUAUUUGUUCACAUUUUUAUUGUUUGUUAGCCUCUGCUUAGAGGCCCUGUAUAUGAGGGUAGGGGCUUGUCUGUUUUGUUCACCAUUUAUUAUCAUCAUCCAAACAAUGCCUUUCACAUAUCAGACAUUUGAUAAAAAUUUUUUUCAGUAGAUGCAUAAAUGAAUGAAUGAAGUUGAUUUUUUUUUCUAACAGUCCUGUGAGAUAGGCAGAGAAAAUGUUCUUAACAUUUUCUAAAGUUAUAUUUUACAGAGGAUCUAAACUUGUGAAAGUCAUGAAAGAGGCAGAACCCAGGUCUUCUAUUUUCCCUAGGUAUUUCUUUCUGUUUAAUAGUCUAUAAGCAAUUAGUCUUAACCAUCUUAGAAGAAGGAAGAAGGAGGAAACAGAGCACUUAGAAAGAAGGUUAAAUGUCACACUACAUACACAUUUGCAUUCACAAAAGCAUGGCCAAAGACAAACAAAGGAGGGUUCCUGGUCACUCUGUUUGAUCCCGCCUAUCUCUCCAUUGAAUCCCUGCAGAGCACAGGCUGAGGAAGCACGAUUGCAUGGUGGUUCAAAGUAUGCACUUUGGAAGGAGACGAACCUGGGUUCCACUCCAAAUUCUAUAACUUACUCUGUGUGUAUCUUUAAAUAAAUUAAUUAUCUUUUUAUGAGACUCAAUCUCCUGUCUUUUUAAACAGGAAUAGCACCACCAAGACUUUAAAGUUCUUUGAGGGAUUAAAUGACAGAUGUAUCUAAUGUUUGGUGUCAUAAGGUAAAGGAGUUUAGGGGCUGGGGAUGUGGCUCAAGCGGUAGCGCGCUCGCCUGGCAUGCGUGCGGCCCGGGUUCGAUCCUCAGCACCACAUACAAACAAAGAUGUUGUGUCUGCCGAAAACUAAAAUAAAUAAAUUAAUUAAUUAAAAAAAAAUAAGGUAAAGGAGUUUAACUUUCCAACUCUGCAUUCCUCCACUAAUAAUUUUGGUAGAGUUUUCCUAGCAUAUAGUACUGACAAGCCUUCAAUGAUCAACCAGCCAAACUACUUAUUUCAUAUGACCUUUGGGCAGCAUUUUCAACCCAAACCAUAAUAGUCUUGUUUGCUACUCUUUAUGCUCAUUGUUUACCUCACAAGGCACAGAAAUCUCCAUUUUCCUCCUGAUCCUUUUCUUGGUCAGAACAGAAGCCAACAGAAGCCAGAGGAUCUCCUUGAGGCAGAUAGGAUUACGUAGAUAAGGGCAGGACCUAUGUGGUCCUGGUGUCCUCCUCAAAGCCUACUUGCUAUGAGAUUUGAGUCAGUUACUUUCUCUCACUGAGUCUUAGUUCCACCAUAUGUAAAAUAAGGAUAAUGAUAGGGUUAUCAUAAGGAUUAAGUAAAAUAAUUCACAUAAAAUUGCCUGCAACAUGGCAAACACUCAGUAUAGAUUUGUUUCUAAACUUGUAUUAGAAGUUAUUUUAUUAGAGCAAAUUAAAUUUCAUAUAUGUAUGAUUACGUCAAAAUGAACCCAACUAUUAUGUGUAACUAUAAAACAAUAAUAAAAGCAUAAAAUAAAAAUAAAAAUAAGAUAGUGUGAUUAAAGUAAUGAAUUGUGAUGUAAGAUUUCUAUUAUUUAUUAAAAUUACAGAUCACAGAAUUGUUUCUAGACUUUGUUACUAGCAAAAACAAUAAAAAGAGUUUUUAUUUUUUUGGGGGGGAACCCAGGAUUGAAUACAGGGGCACUCAGCCACUGAGCCACAUCUCCAGUCCUAUUUUGUAUUUUGUUUAGGGACAGGGUCUCACUGAGUUGCUUACUGCCUUGCAUUUGCUGAGGUUGGCUUUGAGCUCUUGAUCCUCCUGUCUCAGCCUCCCGAGUUACUGGGAUUACAGGCAUGUGCCACCAUGCCCUGCCAUGGGUUAUUUUUUUUUUUAAAGUUAUUUUGUAGUAAAAUCCUCAGCAACUUAGUGGGAUUCUGUCUCAAAAUAAAAAAGGACUGGGGAGGUUGCUCAGUGAUAAAGUGCCCUGAGUUAAAUCCCCAGUAACCCCCUCCCCCACAAAAGUUAAAGUUUUUCCCCCCAGCGGAAGACAGUUUUGUUUAUAUAACACUGUAUAAUAUAUAUAAUAAUAUUCCACUAACCUUGAAAAAAUACAAAAAUGCAUAGGGCUAAGGAAAUAUAUUAAUCACCAUUGAAUAUUAGUAGUCAGAAGAGCAGUAAAACAUUAUGAAUUGACUGGUAACUUAAGUCCUCUAUCACAUGUGUGGUACUGUAAAGGAAAACCAUGGGACUGCAUUUUAUUAAGUACUAGUACAAAAAAUGAGUUAUAGGGGCAGGGAGUGUAGUUUAGUGAUAGAACACAUGCUUAGCAUACAUACUGCCCUGGACUCAAACUCAGUACUAGAAAAAAAAAAAAAGCUUAGAAUACAUUUCCACAUAGUCUAUACAGAGUAAAUAUAUCAGAGUAAAUAUAAAAGUGCUCAUAAAAUAAAUUUGAAUUGAUUUCUCUGUAGGGAGUGACAGCAUAUGUAGCCAAACAGAUAUUUCAGUAAAAACUAGUGCAAGUUAUAGGAGUAAAUUAUUGCAUUCGAAGGAAUGUCAAUGUCAUAGCCAUGCAGACAAUUGGAUGGAAUAGUUCACAGAAUGUUAGUAUAUAGAAAGCUACAGGGAAAUAAAUUGAAUCCAGUGGAAACCAGCCAUGCAAUUAAUACCACAUAAAAGGGCCUCACAGUGCUUGACUCUUUGUCCUUAGAACCCAGAAAACCUUUUCCUUUAAUCCCUACCAAUAGUAAGCCCAAGCCCCUUUUUGUUGCUAAAUUCUGAUAGGUCUCUUCAUCACUGAGCAUCAUCAUACAACAAAUAGGGCCAAUACAUAAAUACAACAAACCCAAGACCUAUUUACCACACUCUUUUGCUUUACUUGACUAUGAACUCACUGCUUUCAAUCUUAAUGCUUCUUUAAGUAUUUGUAAUUUUUUUGGUUGUUGCAAGAUCUAAACACUUUUGGCAACUCUAGUGUGUUCUUUUUCUCAAAGUCUUAAAACACGAAACUGCCUCCAAUAUCAGAGGAUGGAAUCGAGGGUCUUGCUCAUACUAGGCAAGUACUCGACCACUGAGCUACACUCCCAGUAUUUAUUUAUUAUUUAUUGCUUUCAAACCAUGAAUUAUGCCACAAAACAAAACAAAAGCCCCAUACUACAAAGUAUUUCAGGGCUAGUAUAAACUUUACUGGUUAACUUUGUGAUAUAAUUGUUAUAAGAUAACCCUAAAAGGUGUUUUAUGUUCUGCACCCCACUGUAAGGAGAGUAUGGUAAUACUCUCCUAAUUUGUUGUCAUUCAUUACACUCCUGGCCUCCUGGUGCUGGCAUUUUUAUUUGUAGUAGUUAAUUUGACAUGGAAAAUUUCUGGAUACCUUUUUUAGUGGAAAAAUACAUAGUAUACAUUAUAUGAUAGCUUCAAUCAUUUAUGCACAUAUGCACAAUUUAAACCUCAGAGCAGUUCUUUUCCAAUGGUAGCCUAGUAACCUAAGCAUUACUAUAAUUUAUUUCAGUGCUUUAAAAAAUGUGGCCCUUGAAACACCUGCAUCCGAAUCCCUUAGUGUGCUCGUUAAAAAUCCAGGAUCAUGGUCACUGUUCCCUUUCCCCCCUCCAAAGUCUGCUGAAUUGGAAUGUCAUUUUUAAAAGGGUUCCCUGUUGAUCCCAGGCCCACCAAAGUCUGACAGGGCAUUUCCCUUUGGAGUAUCUUUUUUUCUCCCCUAUAUUUUGAUAAGCAUGUAAAGACAGCUGAAGGGAUGAUCUUCCUUUGUGUCAUUUGCCCAGAUGACACAUCCAAUUUGGGCUCUGCUGGAAUUCUCAGGUUCCUUAACCUCUUGGACUUGGACUUUGACUUGUUAUUUGCUUCAGCACUUCCUCCUUAUGUGAUUUCCUCCUUAAACAGUUCUCUCCAGACAGUCACCCAUUCCCUUAUUCUCUCUCUCUCUCUCUCUCUCUCUCUCUCUCUCUCUCUCUCUUUUUUCUCUCUCUCUCUCACACACACACACCAUUGGCUGCUUUUCCCAGUACACUCCCUUUAUUCUGACUCACCUGUGGUGCAAGAUAUAGAAUUCUCUGUGGGUAAGUGGGGCCACCUGCUUGGGCAGGCUUUUUCCUUGGCUCAGACAAGUCAUGUCUCAGAAGGGGUAGCUUGGAAACAUAUUUCAGAUAGCCUCCUCACUCAGGGAGUAAGAUCUUAGAUAUUCCAAAGGCAGACAACUCAGGGAUACAUGUUUCCUCCAGAAAACAUAAAUUAGAUAUCAGUGGUUUGGAGUAUGGAUAUUCUUUUGUGAUUGAAGAAUUUCCACAGUGUGGAGAUAUACAACCCACUCUUUAUCCCAAAUUCAGAACAAUUUGUGUGUGUGUGUGUGUGUGUGUGUGUGUAUGUGUCAGGGUGGGAUACUGGGGAUUGAACACAGAUGCCUUCUAACCCUGUAACCCAGCUACACCCCCAGCUCUUUUUAUUUUUGGACAAGGUCUUCCUCACUAAGUUGUCCAGGCUAGCUUUGAACUUAAAAUCCUCCUGCAUCAGUCUCCCUAAUAGCUAGGUUUAUAAGCAUGUACCACUGCACCCUGCUCAGAUGAAAGUCUAAAUUUCUGUGGUGUGUUCUCUGAGUUAGUCCCAUUUUUUUAAAAACACAUUACCUAAGGUAAUCAGAAUAUUGAGGGAAGAGCAAGGAAAGUGUGCUCUGAAUUUAGACUGAUGUGCCACUUGGGCAUGAAAGGGUUUGAGAUGAUUUUAUCAGCAAUGUGGAAGGUACAGUAGAGUCACCUAAAUUCUUUGGCUCUAGAAGUAGGAACUUUCAUUGCAGAUAUUAAUAAGUAUUAGUGGGGUUGACUUAGAUGUUGAUAAAUGAAUUUUGUUAUAUAGCUGUGAGUUUGUAUUUGAACUGUAACUACACAGGACAUCAUCCCAUAGGCUAUUCAUAUAGUCAUGAAUGCAAGUUGGCCCAUUCAAAUAUGGAAAGAAGAUAUUGGAACUUCUAACUACUGAUAUAGAAUAUUAUAAAUAUUUACUUUUGUGGGUGUGUGUAGUGCUAGGGAUUCAACCCAGGGCCUCACACAGAGUAGGCAAGUGUUCUACCACUGAGCUAUAUCCCCAGCCCUAAAUGUUUACUUCCCUAAUUUUUUCAAUUAAUAGUGCCUGAAUAGAAUUUAUUAUUAUUAUUUAUUAUUAUUAUUUGUAACAGGGAUUGAACCCAGGGGCACUUAACGACUAAGCCACAUCCCCAACCCUUUUUAAAUUUUUUAUUUUGAAACAGGGUCUCACUAAGUUGCUUAGGGUCUUGCUAAGUUGCUGAGGCUGGCCUUGAACUUGUGAUCCUCCUACUUCAGCCUCACGAGCCCAUGGGAUUACAGGCAUGUGCUACCAUGCCUAGUUAAAUAUGAUUUAUUUUUAAAUAUGUUUUUUGAAGGUGUACUGUUAACAAUUUUUUACUGACUAGGAUGCAUAAACAAAAUAUCAAUAUACUACUGGCCCUUAGAGCAAUUGUUGAGCAGAAUAAAUGAGAUUUCAGUUUGCUAAACAAUCUCUCAAUGGUGUGCUAUUUACUUGUCAUACACCUCCUGGUUUGGUGGUUAGGAGUGUGAAACUGUGAGGAAGGAAUAAUCUGCUGCUGGAAUUAAGGAACUGCAGAGAAAGCCACUGCGACAUGGCGUGGUCAUCUGCUUCCCUGGCUCCCCUUUCAUGAGGUGGGGGUUAGCUGGAACUGGCUUAGGAGUCAAACACACUAAGCUGGACUCUGAACCCUACAUCUUACUAACUUUGUAAUCUAGUGAAAGUAACUUUAACAUGGUGGAGCCUCAAUUCUUCACUUGUAUGAUAUAUUUGUUGUAAGAACAAAUGAAAUAAUGUAAAUAAAGCACCUACCAUAGACCUGGCACAUAAUAGCUACUCAGCAAGUGAUGUCUCCUUUGCUUCCUUGAUUACUCACUUGUAGACUUCCUUAUUUCUAUUGAGAGCAUCACCAAGUCUAUAAGAUACAGCCAAGAAAAAUCCUUGAGAACCACAUGGUUUAGGAACAACAUAGUCACAAGCCUUGCCAAAUUAAAAACAAAAACGAGAUAAUUAAUAAUGAAAGGGAAUCAUGACAGAUGGUAGUCUAAAAAGGAGCUUAUGACCCACACCCAGAGCUUGAUCCUCCACACCAGAGGAGGGAAAGGGGUGCAGCCCCAAUCUCUGGUGCCCGCCUCUGCUGGCCUGCGGGUAGGCGCUGAAGAGGCAAGAAGCCCUCUGAUGCUGGUCUCGGUUGGUUUACCACCUGCUUGCUCACCCUGGCAUUUGUCAAUAGCCCUAGCUGGGCAGGCAGGGCGUGUUUGACACCAACAAUGGUGGGGACACUAUUGGGCCAUCAGUGGCCUCUUUCCAGGCUUGUUGAAUACCACUGCUAUGACUUGGUGACUCGUGACACUUUCUUUCUGGCCCAUUGCAGCCAGGGAUAUUUCCCCAUUCAGCUCGUUAUAAUCCAAGGUGAAGGAGGAUACAGAGGGCCAGUGUGCCUGAGGUGAUUUAAGUUCAUUAUACUUAAUGAGUUUAAAAAAGGUCACUGGAUUGCUCCCCUUUACCCCCAAAGCAUAAUUUAGAAAUAAAACCUGUCAUAGGCUAUAUAAGUCCUAAAGCUAUCCAGGUUCUAAUCUCUAGUACCUGGGAAUGUUAUCUUCCAUAUUUUUGUAGAUGCAAGUAAGUUAGAAGGUCUCAAGAUAGAAAGAUUAUCCUGGAUUAUCCAGAUGAACCCUAAAGGCAAUCACAAGAGCCCUUUUAAGAAAGAGACAGAAGGAGUUUGGACACUGCAGAAGGCAAGGUGAACACUGAAGCCAAAUGCUAUGCUGGUUUUGAAGAUGGAGAAAAGGGCCAGGAAAGAAGGAAUGUAAGGAAUGCUGCUCUCAGGCUGGAAAAAGCAACAAAAUAGCUGCCCCACUAGAGUCCAGGAGGCUGUACUGCCUGCCAACCUUCAGCCCAGUGAAAUGGAGUUUGGGCUUCUCACCUUCACAGGGCAAAGAAGAAACUGGGUGUUGUUCCAACACCAAAGCAGCUGCAGGAAACUAAUACAAAACUUUAUAUGCAAUGCAUUUAUUUUCCCCAACCAAGAUUCUGCUUCAGAGAAGGGAACUUGUCUCCCUUUCUCAUCUCCCUUUGGGAAAACAUGAUUAGCAGAGUUAAGAGUUAAUUCUGUGUUCAUUCCUUCAAAUACCCCCAUUCCUCUGAGGGUUCCUUUGCUUCUUUUGGUGAUGGGGACUGAACCCAGGCCUCCCAAGGACUAAGCAUGCAUCUACUGAGCUACAACCCAGCCUCACUGCUGAGGUUUAUUUAUAAACAAUAUGAAAAUAAAGCUUUGGACAGAAGCUUCUAGCCCAGGCACAGCCUACCUCUAGAACUUCUCAGAGUCCAUAAUCUUGCUUUGGUCUAAUUCUAAAUCGGUUCCAUCUGUUAAAGCCCACCAAACAAAACCCCUCAUCUCCAUCUCACACUGAGGUCCAGAUAGUAUCCCAGAAUUUUUCUUAAAUUCCUUCCCCACAUCAUAGAUACUCAAUAAUUUUUGUGGUUGUUAGAAGUUGAUCUAGGGCAUUUCCAGUUUUUGCUCACCACCUGCCCUUUAAAGAAGUGCUCAGGGUCACUUUGACCUUGUGGUGAAGUCCUUGGAGAAACUGCAGAUAAAAUUGAAGGUCUAUUCUUAAUCUUCACUUUUAUCUUGUCCUUUUACUAUCCAUAGCAAUGGGUUUGGUAUAUUCCCUAGGAUGCAUGCCCAGGGAGUCCCAAAGUCACAAGGUUAUUUUAUUUAUUUUCUUAGCAUAAGUUUGAUUAUUGGCCCAUUUCCCACUGGUUCUCUGUACCAUGGAUGGAGCUAUUUGUGUUAAUUUAAACUAAGCGCAUCAAAAUGUUAGUGGUUAAGCACUUUGGGCUUUGUUCCUUUUCUUUUUGGAAAAAAUCUUUAACACUUUUAAUUGUGGUACAACACAUGUAACAUAAAACUUACCAAAUUAACGAUUUCUAAAUGUACAUUUCAUUAAUGCUAAGUGCAUUCACAGGACUGUGCCACAGAACUCCAACAGUGAAACAUUUUUACAACAAUACGGUUCUAGGUAGAAAUAUGGAUAUUUUUUGUUGUUUUGGUAUAAAAAAGUUAAAAUUCCUCAAAUGUUGUGAAUUUAGCCAAUUGUAAAAUUUUGGUGGAGGGAAUUAACAGUUGGGAAAUAGGAGACUGGAAAUUAGAAAUAGGGAAUUUGGGAGGCUGAAUUUUGGAGAUGGGUGAGGUUGUAGCAUUAUACAUGAUUAUUUUUUUCUUAUAUUUUAAAUUUGAUGGCUCUUCUGUACUUGUAUUUACCAGAAAUGAAAUAAAGGAAACAGAAUGUGAAAGCUGUCAGAAUCAAAAUAAAGUCAAUUGUGUCAACAAGUGAGUAAGUAAAGCCAAGAGGUUAUGAAGGAAAAGUUCUUACUCAUGACUUCCUGAUAGGAAUGGUCACAAAAGGCUCUGCUGGAACCACAAGCUUACAAAGAGGUCACCACAACCUUAUACAAAAAGUACUUCUGCCAUUUGGAGUGGUGGUGCACUCCUGGAAUGACUGGGCAGAAGGAUCCAAAGUUCAAGGCCAGCCUGAACAACCUAGUGAGACCCUGUCUCAAAAACAAAAAGGGCUGGGGAUGUACUCAAUGUUAGAGCACUCCUGGGUUCCAUUCCCCCCCCCCCUUCUCUCUCUCUCUCUCUCUCUCACACACACACACACACACACACACACACACACACACACCGUACUUCUACAAGAACAUCUACCCAGCAGUUGUCUUCAUCCUCCAACUAAUGCCAUUUUUGUUUUAAAUUAUUGUGGCUAAGGAUUAUUGUUUUGAAAUAUCUGAUGUAAUCCUGCUCAUUUCUGUUUUUAAAAACAUCCCCUUGCUUCAACUUCCUUAAAUACACCCAUAGUUUAUUAUGACAGUGUAUUCCCAUUCCAAUGCUCAGCAAAGCUAUUUACAAAUGAAUAUUAUUAUUCGUUGGGGAAUAUAUUUUGUUUUCCUCCUCAGCCUAACAGAAAACAGCACAGCUUCCUGGCAAAAAUCAAAUGCACUGUCAUAAUGGCAGUACAACAAAAGGUUACUUUUAGACAUACUUUUGUAAGGAACUUUCCUGGUAGUACCCAAGAUGAAUCAAUUUCAGAAGUUUAAACAUGAAAGGUUCAAAGAAGCUGCUGACAAUUGAGGCUCCUUGUGGCUAUCCAGUUAAUUUAGAUCUUGCUAGUAUUCCUAGAUUGGCUGACUCCUGGUAUACCUUGUCCCACACAUAGAACCACAGAUUAAAGCAUCCUUUGGCGCCCCCAUAUGCUAAAUGAAAGGAAUUGCACUUUUUAAAACUAAUUUCACUGUGCUGGACUCAGUAUGAAGUUUAGAGAGUAUCUGUGAUUUAGAGGAAUAAGAAACCCAUUUUUUCAAAACUAUACACCAUUAAUUUCUUUAAAAAAUUUUGUUACAAUGUAAACAUAUACUUGUGUUUUUGAUACUAGGAUUCAAGAUUGAGUUAAUACUUGUAAAAUAAUUUGUGUGAAAUUUGUAUAUAUGUGUUUGUAUCAAAUUCUCCUGGUUGUAUCAGAAGGAGAGUAGCUUGGGAUGAUAUACAUAAAAGUGCUUUGAUUAUGACAUGAUUGCCAGAAGAAAAUAGAGUCAGGAAGUCCUGGCUUAAUCAAAGGAGGUGAAUUGCUUCAUAAUAAUGGUUUGGUCAAUUAUUAACAGCAAUGACAGUCAACACUUACAAGGCACUCACCAUGUGCCAGCCCCUGAUCUCAGCACUUUUUGUGCACAUUAUCUCACUUCUCUGUGAAGUAGGUACAACCACUUUCUCUAUUGUAAAGUCUAGGAAAUGGAGGCAGAGAGAGAUUUAGUAACUUCAAGGUCACAGUUAGGUUAAGUAGCAAGCCAAGAUUUGAAUUUGACUUAUAAUUUUGGCUCAGAGUCCAGGGUUAUUAGAUGUUACUGCAUCUAGCAUUAAGAUAAUAGAAGUAAUAGCUUCCAUUUAUUGAGCAAUUACUGUGUAUGGUAAGUGCCUAAUGUGCUUCAUCUUAUUUAAUCCUCACACUAAUUUUAUGAAGGAGGUAUUGAUUACUUCAUCUUAGAAAUCAGGAACCUGGUCUCAAGGAAGUUAAGUACCAUGUCCAAGAUCACACAGCUGUUCAGUAGAUGAAUCUAGAUCUGUCUGAUUCCAGAUCCCCAUUUCUUUUUUUUUUUUUUUUUUUUUUAAAUUUUUUUUUUAAUUUUUUUUUUUAAAUAUUUAUUUUUCAGCUUUGGGCGGACACAACAUCUUUGUUUGUAUGUGGUGCUGAGGAUCGAACCCGGGCCGCACGCAUGCCAGGCGAGCGCGCUACCGCUUGAGCCACAUCCCCAGCCCCCCAUUUCUUAAUCACAUAAUCAGGUGGCUUUUUAAAGCAUUACCUAAUCACCAUGUGAUGAGACGAAAAAAUUUACUACAGUCUUUUAACUGAAAUGCUUGAGAUUGGAAGUAUUUCAAAUUUCAUAUUGAGGGGGCUUUGGAAUAUUUGCACAUGCAUAAUGAAAUAUUUUGGGGAUGGAACCCAAAUCUAAAUAAGAAAUUCAUUUAUAUUUCAUAUGUACCUUAACAUAACCAGAAGUUAAUUUUAUACAGUAUUUUUAAUGCACCUGUAUUUGACUGCAACUGUCACAUGGGGUCAGGUGUGGAAUUUUCUGCUUAUGGCAUCGAUGAGUGCUUGAAAAUUUUAGAUUUUGGAGCAUUUGGAUUUCAGACUUUUGAAUCAGGGAUAUUUAACCUCUAUAGUAAAAUAGUGGUCAGAAUAGGUGAAAUUCACCUCCACAGGCCCUCACUCUUCAAAGGAAUCUUGACUGUUUUAAUGCUAAAUACAGUACCCAUUUCUUGCCCUUUUCAAGAAAAACAAUUUUUUCUUGAUCUUUAUGAGAAAUCAUUAUCUACUUCGGAGGCCUACAAUGUCCUUUUGUAACUUUUGUCCUUUAGUACCUUUUGUGAAUAGACAAAAUGAGUCCAAACUAUCAUAUCUUUUGAUAUAUUGCACCUGUUUUUUCAAAUUUUCAUUCUGGCCUCCAGAUGUCAGACUGUUAUUUCUGUACAUUUCCUCUGGUAACCCAUUUUCUCACCUCUCGUAUCAACAUGGUGGGUAUAACUAAGAUGGAAAAACAAAAAAACAAACUAAGACAAGAGAACUGAGAAAAUAGGAAUGACCUAUGAAGAAAGAACCACUUUAAAAGAGGUUGUGAGUUUCAUUCCUAUGGUUAAAGGUAGGAGGCCUAGUAAACAAACUGUGUUCAAUCUAUCUAAAUUCUUUAGAUAAUUUUUUGUGUGUGUGUUUGUGUGUGUGUGUACGGCCUUUCUUAUCUGUAUUCUAGAUACCUGAAAUAGCUGGAUAGCAGGAUUCUGAAAAGAUGAAGUAUUAUCAUACAAGGGAGUAAAAUGACUGUUUUGACUUCAUGGCCGAUUAUGGGAUAUAUACUAUUUAACAUCUGUUCACACAUUUAAUUGAGGAAUUGCAAAACCAUUUUCUUUAGAGUUUUAAACAUAAACAUUUAUCUUCUAAUUUUGCCAUGAUCACUUCCACUUCAUUUUCCUGAGUGGUUGAAAACUGUUCUCUGCUCUCUGAAGUCUUGUGCUAGUCUGAGUGUGCUCUUUCUGUAGCAGGAGAUGGAUCACGUGUUCAGCUACUACUCAAUGGUCAUCUAUUUUGUGCCCUUUGUAACUUUUAUCCCUGGUUCAACAGCCGGAUAUCUUUCCAUUCUGAGGACAUCUCAGGUGACAGAGGUGACCUCAUGAAGCAUGGGGUGCAGAGGACACAAAGGCUCCCACUGGGGAAAAGGGAGGGGAAGAUCGGGACUGGUGAUCUAGGUUGGAAACAGGACCUUGAUUGUUUCAGGGAGUGAUUGGCCCCUGAGCAGCCUGGGACCAGGUUGCAGCACUUUUCUCAGGUCUCUUGCUGUAGGCCGGGCUGUUUCAAAUAAGCAGCCAGACCCUUGGGAGGCCAGAUCCAGGGGAACAGGGUUUGAGUUUUCUACACACCAGGACUGCUGGUUUCUAGCCCAAUACCCCACACUUCUCUGUAGUCUUUUCUGUAGAAAUGUCAGUUAAGCAUUUUUUUUUUUUUGGUUUAAUGACUCUAGUUAAUUUAGGAGGUAAACAGAAUUUAUUAGAGUGUGUUAAAUCAUUUUUGAAGAUCUACAGGCUGUUUUCCACAAAGCAGCCAGAGCAAUGUCAAACCAAUACAAGGCAUUUCAAGUCUCUCCUCACUAAAAACUUUUCAUCAUCCUUGAAUGAAGUCCUUUCAGGCCCUGCACAUUCUGGUCUUGGCCACCCUGCCUCACCUCUGCAGCCCUCCUCCUCUCAGUCUGGGCCUCAGGCACUCUUCUUCCCUAUUGUGGUUCUAAGCACCAAGCACUCUCCCAUCUCAGGCCCUUUGAACUUCCCUCACAGGCUGUGUUAGUCACUGUGACACAAUACUUGAGAAAACCAACUUCAAGGAGGGAAGAGUUUUUUUUUUUUUAAAUAUUAUUUUUUAGUUUUAGAUAGACACAAUAUCUUGAUUUUAUUUUUAUGUGGUGCUGAGACUCGAACCUAAUGCCUCAUGCAUGCUAGACAAGCAUGCUACCACUUGAGCCACAUCCCCAGCCCCUGAAGAGUUAUUUUGGCUCAUGGUUUUAGAGUUUUCAGUCCUUGGUUGGUUGGCUGGCUCCAUUGUUUUUAGGCCUGUGGCAAGGUAGAAAUAUGGCAGAAGGGCAUGGUGGAAGAAAGCUGCUCACCUCCUGGAAUCCAGGAAGCAGAGAAAGAAAGAGAGAGAGGGUGAGGAGAGGGGAGAGGCAUGCUAGGGACAAGAUAUAGUCCCCAAGGGCAGGCCCUCAAGGACUCCCUUCUUUCAACUAGGUCCCACCUCCUACAGUUUCCUCCACAUCCAAUAGUCCAAUCAGCUGUGAAUACAUCAAUGUAAUCCACUGGUGAGUUUGGAGCCCUCAAGAUCCAAUCACUUCCCCAAAGCCCACCUCUGAAUACUGCUGCACUGGGAACCCAGCCCUCAACACAUGGGCCUUUCAUGGACAUUCUACAUCCAAACCAGAACACCUGCCUAAGAAGCUCUUUGCCAGCAUUUUGCAUAGUCUACCUGCUCAAUCCAUGCAGAUACUUUUACCUGUUUAUCAACUCUUUCUUCAACUAGAAUGUCAACUGCCUGAUAGCAGGACUUUAUUGCCACAUCUCCAGGCUCUCAAGGUAAUAGAUAGCUCCAGGAACUAAAGUUGCAGAACUGAGGGUGAUCUCUCCAUGGCGCUGGAAUUGAAGAGUGGAAUGGAAUAUAUUAAAAUUUUUUCCGAAUGAUAUGUCAAGGUCAUUGUAUUGUCAUUUGUAACUAAUUAAAAUAAAAAAAGUUUACAUUAAUUUUUUUUUCUAAAAAAGCAUUAAAGAGCAAAAAUACAGUCGACAAUUAUGGUGUUGAGAUCUAGGAGAGGGUGGAAGUUCAGGAUGUUAAUACAUCAUUUGAUCACUUUUAUAAUUUAGAAGAGGCAGUAAUAAGGCUGAGCUAGAAGUGUCAGAUCCAAAUCUAGGACAUGGAAAGGAUAAGUGUCCUGCUAAAUUACACCUGUCCCCACUUCUUUCACUGCAAUUAUAGCUUGAUAAUGGACUAAAAGUAAACCAUUUUUUUCCUGAUCCUGUGGGCAGCCUGGAAAAUCCCAAUAAAAUGAUCUGAUCCUGUGCUGCCAGAAGCCUUAAAGGAAGAAAUGAAAAUGACAUCUGGAGGAUUAUGAUACUACGGUUGCCCUUAAAAUUUCCUUAUAAGUAAAUUCUUAACUUACAUUAGACUUUGUCAGUUAAAGAUCCAUUUUGGAAAUUCUGGGGUCACUAAUAAAAGAAAUCUAAAAGAAUAUAUCUUUCACACAAACAGGAAAAAUACCAUAAAAACAAGAUGAAACAAAACCAAGCAAUCCCUACACAAGAAGGCAAAAGAGGGGAGCAAGAAAAAGGAACCCAAAGCCAGCACACAGAUAGAGGCUUUGCGGUAAGAUAGUAAACAUAACAGUAACAUUAACUAUAAAUGGACUCAGUGCUCUUGCAGUCACAUAUAUAUGAAUGUUAUAUAUAUUUAUAAUAAAUAUAAUUUUUCAAGCAAUAUACAUAAAGUGUAAAGAUGAUAAGAUAUAGAAAGACUGAAAGUAAAAUACCAAUCCCUCCCAUCUCCCCAGUUUGUUUUAAAAUGGGAGCAGCUGUGUGUGUGUGUGUAUGUGUGUGUGUGUGUGUGUGUUUAGUACUGGAGAUUGAACCCAGUGGUGCUCUACUGAGGCACAUUCCCAGCCUUUUUUUAAAAUUUUUAAUUUGAGACAUAGUCUCACAAAGUUGCUUAGGGUCUCACUAAAUUGUUAAGGCUGGCUUUAAACUUGCAAUCUUCCUGCCUCAACAUCCUUCCAGCCACUGUGCCUGGCUACAGCUAUAUAUUAAUAUCAGAUAAAAAAGAAUUUAGGAAGAGAGCAGUGAUAGAAUUAACGGGCUUUACUUCAUAAUGGUAAAAAGAUUAAACUCACCAAAGAAGACAUGGCAGUUCUAUAUAUGUGUAUGUGCAUUUUUUUUUUCAGUGCUGGGGAUCAAAUCCAGAGCACAGUGCAUGCUAGGCAAGUGCUCUACCACUGAGCUACAUCCCCAGCCCUUUGAUCAGUAAAAUAUUUGAUAAAAUUCAACAUCUGUCCCUAAUUUGGAAAAAUAUUUUUAAAAACUAGGAUUAGAAAAGAACAUUUUUAGGAUAAGGCAUAUCUAAAACAAAACAAAAACUAAUGAAAUGUUGAAAGCUUUCUCUUUUAGACCAGUGUGUUUAUUGUGUUUUUUAUUUUCUAUAGCUCAUGAUGUGCUGACAUCUCGAAAAUCUUCCUAGCUAUGGAGAAACUGUCCUCACUGAGCUGGACAGUUCCUAAAAUUAGUAGACAAUAGACAACUGGCUGAACAUGGUGGUGUGCACCAGUAGUUCUCAGCUACUUUGGAGGUUGAGGCAAGAGGAUAGUUUGAGUCUGGGUGUUUGAGGCCAGCCUGGGUAACAUACCCUGUUUCCAAAAAAAAAAAAAGACAACUUAAUUGGGAAUAUGCUUUUAUAUGCAAGUCAACCACCCCUGUGUUAGUUAGGCUUUCAUCAAAUACCUGAUAUGAUCAACUUAAUAAGGGAAAAGUUUAUUUUGGCUCAUGGUUUCAGCCUAUGUGCUCUUGGCCCUGGUGCUUUGGGCCUGUGGUAGAACAGUACAUCAGAGUAGCAGUUCAUGGCAGAAGAAGCCUGUUCAUUGCAUGGCAGCCAGGAGAGAGAGAGGAGAGAGAAAGGUCUAGGGUCCCAAUAUCCCUUCAAAGGCAUUCUCCCAACGGCCUAACUUCCUCCCUCGAAAGGCCCUAACUUCCUAAAGGCUCCUCACUCCCAGUUGUGCCACAGGCUGGGACCAAGCCUUCAACACACGGGCCUUUGGGAAUCUUCAAGAUCCAUACUAUAGCAACUCCUUUUUAUCUAACACUCAUAUGUCACAAGCAUAUUUCCCUGGCUUCAGUAUACUGAGAGCCAGGUAUUGGGCAAGUAGGUAGCUCCCUAUCGCUCAAAGUCUGCUGUGUACUAUUCAAAUUAGCCAAAUCAUAUGUGUGGUACUGGAUAUUCACAGAGCCCUGUGCAUACAGAGCCCAUGCUCUGCCACAGAGCUAUACCCCCACUGUAGUUAGUCUUCCACGAUUCCCCGUCCCCUGCCUGGUGUUUCUUAAGGAAAAUCCCAAUAAAGGCUCUGGACUAGGCUUUUGCCUUACUCCUGCUUCUGUCCCUCACCAAAUCUGGUGCUCUUUACUGGUUCUAGGUGACAUGGUGUGUUCCCUUCUCCUGGUGAAUCUAUUCUUUCAAUGGCAUUAACCACUCUGUGUUGUUACCGCCAUAAAUUAAAAUCCAAUGGGUACAAAUGAGACAAUUAGGAGAAUACAAAGAUGCCUACUAUUACAUUUCAUUAAUAAUUUUAGCUGAGUCCAAGAAAAAUCAGUUAGAUAAAAAAAAGAAAUAAGAUGUAUAAUACUCAAUAUUCAUGAGGAAUUGGUUACCCAAUAACAAAAUCUACAGAUGUGUAAGUCCCUUAUAUAAAAUGCCAUAGUAUUUUCAUAUAACUUAUACGCAUCCUUACCUGUACUUUAAUUCUCCUUCUUUUUUCUUCCAUUACUUUAUUUAUUUAUUUAUUUUAAAGAGAACCAUUUUUUUCAGUUGUUGAUGAACCUUUAUUUUAUUUACUUAUUCAUAUGUGGUACUGAGAAUCAAACCCAGUGUCUCACACGUGCAAGGCAAGCACUCUACCGCUGAGCUACAACUCCAGCCCCUCUUCCAUUACUUUAAAUCAUCUUUAAAUUACUUAAUACCUGAUAUAAUCUAAAUUCUGGGUAGAUAGUUGUAUUGUUGAGGGGAAAAAAAGUAGAAAGUCCGUACAUGUUCAGUAUAGAUGAAAAUUUUUUUUGAAUAUAUUUUUUAAAUUAAAAUUUUUUUUUGUAGUGGUAGAUGGACAGAAUGCCUUUAUUUUAUUUGUUUACUUUUAUGUGGUGCUGAGGAUCACACGUGCCAGGCGAGUGCUCUACUGCAGAGCCACAACCCCAGCCCUCUUUUGAAUACUUUUGAUCAGUGGUUGGUUGAAUUCAUGGAAGUGGAACUCAUGGAUAUUGAAGGUCUGUAUAAGGAUUGAAAAGAAAGAAAUGAAGCAUUCAUCAAUAUUACUAUUAUUAUUAUUAUCAUUAUUGAGAACUGGCUAUGUGAAAUAAUAAAUGGCAGUCUUAGAGCUAGAGGGAGCUACCUAGUAGCCUGGCAACUGGCCCUGGGAAUAUUGAGGCCAGGAGAGAUAUGCUUGGUAUGUGAGAGUGAGAUAAAGGGAAUUGCUAUUGUUUGGAUCUUGAAUGUCCUCCAAAUGUACAAGGAGUGUAGUUCAGUGAUAGAACACUCAUCUAGCAUGCAUGAAGUCCUAGGUUUGAUCCCCAGUACGGGGGGGGGGAAGAUUGGAUUAUGACAGAAAAUCUGAAAGAACUUGUGAAUGCAUUAUUAUAAAAGCAAUUUUAAUAGUGGAUACAAGUUAAUAUAAAAAUUAAUUGCAUUGCUACAUAUCCACAAUCAAUAUUUAGAAAAUGAAGUAAUAUACCAUUCAAAAUAGCAUUUACUUUUAGAUCUUAAAUUGUUUUGAGAAUCUUUGUGAAAAAAACUGUAAAACUUGAAAGAAAAUAAAGGCAAAUUAAAUGUUUAUGGAUUUGAUGACCCAAUAUUUAAAAAAUGUUAAUUCUCUUUAAACUACUAUUAAGUUUCACCUGUAAUCCUAGUGAAAAAUAGCAACACCAUUUUUCUGUGUGUGAAUGUAAAACUUGACAAGCUAAUGGUUAAUUUAUAUGGAAAAGCACAGGGCUGGAAAUAGCCAAGAUACUUUAAAUCAAGAAGACCAAUGUGGGGAGACUUGCUCUAUUUGAUUCUAAGGCUUAAAAUCAUUAAUAAUUAUAAAACAUUGUUUUGGUUCAAGGAUGGAGAAAUGAAGAUAAUAGAGUUGAAGCAUUCAUACAUAUGCUUAUUAAUUGAUUAUUAUUAUAAGGGAGGCAAUGCAGAGUAUUAGGAAAAGGACUAUCUUUUAAAUAAAAGGUACAAAGGCAAAUGAACCAUAAAUGAAAGAUGACGCAGAGGAGGCGAAGGGAAGGAAGAGAAGAAGGAUGCAGAAAAGGGAAAAAAAGAAAGAAACUGGAUCCAUAUUGUACAUCACGACAAAAGUUAAUUUUAGGUGGAAAGUAGAACUCAAUGUCAAAUGCAAAACAAUAAGCUUUUUAAAGAGAAUCUAGGAGAAUAUAUAUAGCAAAAGAUAUUUUAAAAUAAGGCACAUGGAAAAAAAGAUAGUUAAAAUUUACUUACAUGUGCAGAAGACACAGUAAGUCACAGCAAGAGAAGGAAAAAGAAAAUCACAGAGAGGGAGAACACACUUGAAACACGUCUAAUAGGGAAAGGGCCAUAUUCCAAAUAUAAAAAGACCUUCCACAAUUCAAUAGGGGAAAAUAAGAAAGACACCCUCAUGGAAAAUGGAAAAGAAUUGGACAAAGCACAAGACAGAAUAUCUGAAUGGACAAUAAAUAUAUGUAAAGGCAUUUAGACUCAUUAGUAAUUAAGAUCAUGCAAAUUAAAACUACCGAGAGAGGUACAAUUACAUACUGAUUAGACUGGGUAAACUUAAAUUGUAAUCAUAAAAAGUUGACUGAGAUGUGGAACAAUGGAAACUUUCACAUACUGCUGGGAGGGGGUGAGGUGGUGAAUUGAUGCUCCCAUUUUAGAAAACUAUCAUUAUCUUGUAAAGUUGUAGAUUUGUAUAUUCUGUUACUAAAAAAUACCUUUCCUAAGACAAUAUCCUAUAGAAAUGUGUGAUUAUGUAUAUCAGGAAAACAUGUACAAGAGUGUUUAUAGCAGUAUGAAUUAAAAUAGCUUCAAAUUAGCAACAAACUAAAUACUCAUUAAUAAUGGAAAAAAUAAAUAAAUUAUGAUAUAUUCAUAAAAUGAAAUACUAUACAGCAAGAAAAAAGUGAAGGAACAACAACCACCAUAUGGACAUAGAUGAAUUUUAUGUAAUAAUUUGAAUAAAAGAAGCUAGAUGCAAAAAAACACAUAUUUAGAUGUAUUCCAUUUAAAUAAGGUAAAAAUUGUGUGAAUGACUAUUCAAAAAUAGUCAAAACUAAAUUACAUAGGUUGAGGAUUCAUAUUGGGAUGGUAGAACUAUAAAGUAAAGCCAGGAAAUGAUUACAGCAGUCCUCCCUUAUCCAUGGGGUAAUAGGUUCCAAGACCCACAGUGAAUGCCUGGAGCUGUGAAUAUUACUGAACCCUGUAUGUAUUAUGCUUUCUCCCAUGUACAUGUAUAAUUACUUUAUAAAUUAGGUGUAGUGAGAGAUUAACAAUAACAAUAUUACAAUGGAAGAAUCAUAACAACGUACUAUAAUAAAACUUAAGCAAAUGUGGUCUCUGUCAGAAUAAACUGUUUUACUGCACAUACCUUCCUGUGGUGAUGGGGGCUAACACCAUGCCCAGGUGAUGAGGUGAGCGAGGAGAAUGUGAGAUGCAGCAGGUGGGCAUUGUGAUGGAGCAAUUGGGCCACUGUGUGAAGUUUUCUCAAACACUACCUCUGUGGUACCACAGCAGCCCAUCUAAUAACUGAGCUGGUUACCAAGAGACUCCUGGGUGGUUAGUGACUGCAGUGCACAUAUGCUGGACAAAGGGACGAUUCACAUCUCUGGUGGGACAGUGUGAGAUUUCAUCAUGCUUCGCAGAAAGGUGCACAAUUAAAAACUUGUGGAUUGUUUAUUUCUGGUAUUCUUCACUUAAUAUUUUUGGAUCACAGUUGACUGCAGGUAAUUAAAAUGGUGAAAAGUGAAAUCUUGUAUAAGACAGGAGUCUAUUGCCCUAUCAAAUUCAGAAGGGUUGUUAGCACAGGGGUGAGUUCCUAGAAUUUUUGCCUAGUGUCCAGAAGGUAGUAAGCUGCAAAUACAUUCCAGUCCACAACUACACUGAUGAUUACAAUAGUUUGACACCUUCAGUGGGUAUUGAAUGGAAUUCUCUUAUUAUAUUGCAGGCAUGGCUGGGUGUGGUGGCUCACUCCUGUAAUCUCAGUGGCUUGGGAGGCUGAGACAGGAGAAUCGCGAGUUCAAAGCCAGCCUCAGAAAUGGUGAGGCACUAAGCAACUCAGUUAGACCCUGUCUCUAAUUAAAAAUACAAAACAGGGCUGGAGACGUGGUUCAGUGGUCGAGUGCCCCUGAGUUCAAUCCCCAGUAACCCCCCGCCCCCAAAAAAAAUUCCCCUAAUACAGUCAUGAAAUGAAAAAUCCUGGGGGAAUGAUAUAUGAUAUUCAGGAUGGAUAGAGGAGUGCAAUUAAUCUGGAGUAUGCAGGAUCCCAUCUGGAAGGACUGAUGGUAUCUAAAGAGGCUCUGUCUAGUUCAAGGAUCCCAUUUGAUACAAAAUAGGGAGUUAUGGUGUUGGUACCAAAUAAAACUUGGUGCAUUUCAUAAUUUCUCAUCAGACUCAUCUUGCAUAGGAGGUAAUCAUUCAACCUACAUAUUUUAGGAUACUUUUGAUUUCAGAUGUUUAUAUAUUGUGCAUAUAGUUGAAUAGAUAUGUAUCACUACUGAAUUAUAUAUUUAAUCUGUACAUGUUUUGUGUUUCUCUUCACAUAAUUUUUAGUCAAAAUGAUUCAUUAAAUGUGUAUCUAAAAAGGGUUUUGUUUGCAUCCUUUGAAUAAUUUCAAAUUAAAUAAAUAAAUUCACAUUUGAGGAAAAAAAUCUUUGAUAGAUCAGGGUUUUCUGAUUGUUAGUUCAGAAACUUGGAUCAACAGUCACCUCAUCCCUGAGGAUCAUGGUCUAAUUAAUCAUGCAGAUUAAUUUCCCCAGCUGGAGUGGUGAAGCCAGAGCACAGGAUGCACAGUAUGAGGUGUCCCUAGCCCCAAGAAAUGAAAGAGACAUGGAAUUUUUGAAACUGGGAUGCAGGAUUCAAGCUGUACCUGUGCUGCUCAUAACCUAAAACUAAAUAGAGGAUUAAAUCAAAGCUAAUGACAACAUAGAUGUUAAACGAGUACUUAUAGUAGCUUUUAGGUUAUAAGGUCCAUAAAAGACAUCUUAUCAGUGUUGCUAAAAUACCUGGUAUUUUCUUUUUUCCUUACUGAUUUUUUCCCCUUAAUUCUCUUGAGGCCUAUAAUUUUCUGUGAGCUUCAGAACAUAUAGAAACAAGUUGGUUUUACUUGGGGCAAGUAGGGGUGUGGCAGUGUGGAUGUGGGAGGAAAAAAAAUAGUAUUCACCUUAAUGUGGUUAUUGUUGGAGUUUAACUCAGACGUGAUGAUGGAAAUAAUGAGAACAAUAAUAAUGGCUUUAAACAUGAUUUGGCAGCAAUUUUAUUUGUUGUAUCAUAAAAUGGCUGGCCCAUGAUAGCUAUAUAUGAAGAUUAGGAAUAAAUUUUGUAAGUGUGCUCAGGAAGCAUGCAUGCUAAUCCCAUUAUCUGAUAACAGGAUUUGUGUCCAUACCUCCCACAUGCAGCACAAGUAACCCACCCUUUUAGUAUCGCUGUGAAAUGCAAUUUGUGUGCAGAUGAAAAGUUUACAGAACAUGGGCCCAUGCCAUGAUGCUCAACAAAGCCGGCGCACUGUGUGGCAAGGUUUCUGAACCUGACCCCUGUCGCUCCUGUGGACUCCCUCCUUAUUGAUUUCCGUCCCUUGGCCAAGCUGGCUUUGUGGUGGUCCGCAUCGACCCAGAAACUUUGAAAAAUGAGCUAAUCAAAUUGGCGCAGCAGAGAUCCACCCUGAAUUUCUAGGAGGUUUAGAGACUUGCCACACACAGAAAGUCUGAGGAGAUGACUGGGUCAAGCAGGGGGUUUGCGGAAUGUAAGGGAUAAGGAGGCAAAAUGAUCAGAAGGAUCAUUAAUUACUUGACAGACAUGUCCACAAAGAUAGGUAAAGCUCAAACCAAAGGCAUGUGUUUGAGGAAUUAUGGCAUAGGUGCUGCUUUUAAAAUAAAGUCCUUCUAUUCAUAUUUUAAGGCUUUGGUUCACAUGGUCUGCCUACCUUCCUUUUUGAUAGCGCUCACAAUAACUGGCAUAAAUCUUCACAUAAAUAUACCAAGAGCAACAGAUGUUAGUGACAGAAGCUGCUGCGAAAAUAUGGAAAAGAAUACACUAUUCUAUGGCUUGCAAGGGCAGAAGCACAGAUUCACACUUUAUAUUCCAGAAAAAAAGAUUAAUUCACACAUUGACAUGUGAAUUUUGUUCUUCCCAACCAGCCAAUGAAGAAGGGAAAGUUAUUUUAAUUGAGGAUAUUUAUGUCAAUCUUUGCUCAUCAUAAAACAUGAUUGUGGUUUAAAUAAUGUAUUAUUAUUCAAGAUACAAUAUAUUUAGCAAUUAUUACAGAGCAAAUAGUUAGGAGAGAAAAUAUUAAAUCCUAAGGAUAGUGAGAAACUUGGUUUUAGGGACUCUGUGGGUACCUGGUGGGGAAAUAUGCUAUGCUAGGUCUUUUUAUUUCCAUAUGCAUUUUGGAAUUGGAUUGUCUAUUUCUACAUAUAAACCUGUUAGAAACUUGCUCAGGAAUGUGCUGGCUCUGUAGGUCUAUUUGGCAAGAAAUUGAUAUCUGGAAUAGUAUUGAGCAUGCUUACCAGUUGACCUCAGUAUGUUUAUUUAGUUCUUUCAUUUUUCUUAACAAUGUUUUACACUUUUCAGUGUACAGCUUUUGCUCUGUUUGUUAGACUUACCCCUAAAUGUCUUGUGUUUUUGAUGGUAUUAUAAAUAAUUCUGCUUUUAUAUUCAAUUUUCAAUUCUUCACUGCUAAUAUGUAGACUCACGACUUACCUUUUUAAUAGUGAUCUUUAUCCUGCAAAUUUGCAAAAAUCAUGAUUUCUACAUGUUUUGAAAUCUACAUGUUUUGAAAUGUUAUAUUUUAUUUGCCGUUCAGUUGUUCCCCACACUACCUCCCCCUUUAGAUUUUUUUCUUUUUUAAAGUUUUUAUUUGUUCUUUUCAGUUACAUAUCAAAAGACAGUAGAGUGUAUUUUGACUUAUUAUACAUACAUGGGGUAUAACUUCCUUCUUGUGGUUGUACAUGAUGUGGUUGUACACUGAUUGUGUAUUUAUAUUGAAUAUAGAAAAGUUAUACUGAUUCAUUCUCUUUAGUAGAUUUUUUAGGAUUUUCCUAUAUAGAAAAUUGUGGCUUCUAAAAAUUGAGAGAUUUCUUUAUUUCCAAUAUGUAUGCCUUUUUUGUUUCUUACUUUAUCCUAUGAUCUCCUUUAUGAUACAGAAUAGCAGCAAUGAAAGUGGACAUCCUUGUCUUGUUCUUGGUCUUAAAUGGAUAAUGUUCAACCUUUUAUCAUAAGUACGAUUAUUAAUUGUAAAUUUUUUUGUAGAAGUACUUUAUCAAUUUCUACCUUAGGAUGUUGGAAUAAGAAGAGCAAAUUAGGCAUAAAGUAAGCAGAGCAAAGGGAAAAACUAAAGUCAAGAGCAGAAAUCAGUAAAAUAGGAAACAAAAGCAAUAGAGAAAAAUCAUUGAAAUCAAAAUCAGGUUAUUUGAGGACAUCGUUAAUAUUGAUAAACAUCUAGUUAGAGUGAGGGGAAAAAAAGAGAAGAUGUGAAUGGUCAAUGUCAGGUAUAAAAUAGGGGCUAUUACUACCAGCCCUACAGACAUUAAAAGGAUAAUAAAUUGAACAUCACAUACAACUUUAGGCACAUAAAUUUGGCAAACUAGGUGAAAUAGGCAAGUUCCUUGUGGAUACAAAAUUUAAAGCUCAUGAAAGAAGAAACUAGCAAAUUAAAUAUUCCUGUGUAUAUUGAUACAUGUAGUGAAAGCCUUCCUAUGUGAAAUAUUUUUUAUUUGUUCUUGUGUCACUUUUAGUAAGUUAUGUUUUUCAAGGAAUUUGUCCAUAUCAUCUAAAUUACCAAAUUUAUUGGGCUAAGUUAUUCAUUGCAUCCUUUAAAUUAAUUUUAAGAUAUAAAUGGUAUUUGUAGUGAUAUUUCCUCUUUCAUUCCUGGAUAUUAUAACUUGUGUUCUAUCUUCUAUAUUGCAUGUCUGUUUUCUGCUACAUUCAUGUUUGUUUUUAUGUUUAUUAUUUUGUUUUUUCAAUUUUCUUUGCAUUAUUUUGCUUUUCUUUACCUAGCUCCUUGAGAAUGAAUGCUUAGAUAAUUGAUUUUUCAAUCUCUUUUCUAAUUUAAGUAUUUAAAUAUAUAAAUUUCUUGUAUAAGUCUGGUUUUGUAUGCAACCUAUAUGUUUUUAAAUGUUAUAUUGCAUUUAUUUUUUAGUUGAAAAUAUUUUUAAAUUACCAGUGUCUAUUGUUGUUUGAUCCAUGGGUUAUUUAAAUCUGUGCUGUUUAGUUUCUAAGCAUAUAGCUAAUCUCCAACUAAUCAUUUUUGUUAUUUAUUUCUAGUUAUAUCCCUCUGUGGUCAGAGAGAACAUAUUCUGAUUUAACAUUUUAAAAUUUGCUAAGACUUGCUUUAAGGAAGAAUAGAUAGCCUGGGUACAAUUUGUAUUCUGCAUUUGUGGGGGCAGUUACUAAAUCCAUGGUUACUAAAUUCAGUUUGUUCAUCAAGAACAUAAAAUAGUAUAGAUCUUUACUGACUUUUUGCUUUUGUCUUUCUGUUCUUUUAAUACCAAGACAAGUGUUUAAAAAACUCUUACUGAUUGUAGCUUUUUUUCUCUUCUUAAUUCUGUCAAUUUUUGCUUUAAAAAAUCCUGAGGCUUCAUUAUUAGGUAAUAAUAGAUUUUAACUGAUCGUAUCUUUCUGGUGAUUGUCCUUUACCUUAUGGCAGAGUGUUCCUUUUAUCUUCAAUAAUAUUUCUUGUUUUAAGCUCUAUUUUAUCUGAUGAAGUAUAUUCUGAACAUAUCACUCUUUUAUCUAAAGACAGAAUGAUUGAAAGUAAAAACAUGGAAAAAGAUACACAGCUUUCUUUUGGUUAGUAUUAACUUGACAUGUUUCCCCAUUCUUUCACUUUCAAUCAUUUUGUAUCUUUUAUUAAAGUUGUCUUUCAUAAAUAACACAUAUGUGUGUUUGAAAAUUCAGACAGAUAAUAUUUGUUUUUAAAUUGGAAGCAUUUGGGGCUGGGGUUGUGGCUCAGUGGUAGAGCGCUUGCCUAGCAUGUGUCAGGCGCUGGGUUUGAUCCUCAGCACCACAUAAAAAUAAAUAAAUAAAAUAAAGGUAUUGUGUCCAACUACAAUAAAAAAUAUUUAAAAAAUUUGGAAGCAUUCAUCUCUUUACAUUUAAUGAGAUUACUGAUAUAAUUGGAUAUGUGCUUACUGUCUUAUUUUAUAGCUUUCCAUUUUUCUCAUCUGUUCAGUUAGUUUACAUUUAUCUUGCCUUUUAAAAACUAAUCUUUAUUUUCAGAAUGCAUUUUGGUUUCAGAAAAACUGAGCAGAUGGUACAGAGUUCCUAUAUACCUAGCCUCUGCCCCUUGAUUCCCCUGUUGUUAGCAUCAUACAUUAGUGUUAUGUUGGUAUAAUUAAUGAUCAAUAUUGAUAUGUUAUUACUGAAUUUCAUAGGCUCUGAAAGUAUACUUAGUUUUUGUCUAAUGUAAUUUUUCUGUUUCAGGAUCUCAUCCAGGAUACCUCAUCACAGUUGUCAUGUUCCUUUAUUCUUCUUGAUAGUCCCUGUUUUUAAUGACUUCAGCAAUUUUAAGGCAUACCAGUCAGGUAUGGUGUAGGAUGCCCCUCUAUUGUAACUUACUGUAUUUUUUUUUAAAAUGAUUAGGCUGCUGUUAAAAGGUUUUAGAAAGGGCCACUGUCAUCAUAUAAUAUCAAGUACUAUCAAUAUGUUUUAUGACUGUUGAAGUUGACCUUGCUCUCCUGGUUGAAAGAGUGUUUAUCAAGUUUCAUAAAAAUAUUCUUUUCUCACUUCCUUUCCUUACUUUCUCUACUGUUCUUUGAAAGAAAGUUUCUUAUACAUAGACUUUGCUCCUCUUCCUUUAGGGUGGAGUACCUAUGUAAUUUAUUUGAAAUUCCUUUGUAUUGGACAUUUGUUUCUUUUUGCUUGUGUUCAUUUAUUCAUUGGUUUAUUUAUAUCAGUAUGGGCUCACAGAUAUUCAACAUUUAAUAUUUUGGGCUACAACCCAGUACUACUUCAUUUAUUUUGUUGCAUAAAUUGUUCUAGCUUUGGCCAUUAGGAGCUCUUUCAGUUGAUUCCUAUGUCCUUUUGAAAUAUUCCCAUCAGUGUGUGUGCACGCACUUGUGUGUGCAUUUGAACUCUUUCUUUCUGGCAUUACUUGUAUAUUUGCUGUCCUUGUCCCAGUUAGUCAUUUCUCUGAGAAGUCCUUCUGAGUUCUUUUUAUUUUAUUGGAAGUUGAUAUUAAAGAUCAAGAUCUGGGUGCUAGGGGUGUUCAUUGCUUCUAGGAUGUUGUUUCUUUUAGGCCUUCUCAGAUAACACAAUGAAGAUAUAUAUAUUUCUAAAGAACAGGACAAUAGAUAAGCUGAGAUUUUUUUUUAGCACAUGCCAACAGAACUUCUUUUGCAAUUUCUUUUCUCCAAUCUUCCUCAACCCAAUGAACAAGUACAGAUGGUAUUCAGUUCAGAGGUGGUUUAACAAUUCCAAACACAGUGUUUCUCAUCAGGUUUUAAAAGCUGUUUAUAAAAGUUUUAUUCUACUAUUUCUACUUUUAAAUGAAUCAAGCAUUUCUAAACAUAUAGAUGGACUAGAUAUUCUACAUGAGAACUUGUCCACUAUGUGUACAACACUAGUAAAUAAAAUUGCACAUGUUGCAAUGAUUGUAAUCUUCAGAACAUUCCAACUUUACUUACUUUUCUCUGACUUUUGUGCUAUUAUUGUAAUUAUCUAUCAAUUAUUUUCCCAUAAGGCAAUUUUUUAUUGUGUUACAUAGUAAAUAUUCACUAAUAUUCACCACACUUUAUCCUCUUUAUUAUUAUUAAUUCCUUCUUGCACCUUUGUGCUUCCAUCUGGGAUCAUGUGCCUUCUGUCUGAAGACUACCUGUUAGCAUUUCCCUUAAUUCGUGUCUGCUGGUGAAGAAUUCAGUUAAUUUUUGUAUGUCCAAAACUACAUUUUGCUUUUAUCCUUGAAGGAUAUUUUUAGUGAAUAUAAAAUGCCAUGCUAUUGUUAUUUUCUCUUAGCACAUAGUUUUUUGACUUUCAUGGUUUCUGUUAAGGAGAUGGUUGUUUGUUUUACUGUUGCUCCUCUGAAGAUAAUGUCUUUUUUUCUUUCUGGGUGCUUUUAAAAUGUGCUCCUUGUCUUUGGUUUACAACUGUUUUACUCUGAUGUACUUUCCUUUGUACUUAUUCUGAUUUGGAUUCAUAGGAUUUCUUGAAUGUAUGGUUUGAAUUGUCAGGGGCUAGAAGGAAAUUCUCCUUCAAAGAAUAGCCUGACAUUUACAAAAAACAGCCCCCUGGGAGACAUCCUGCCUGGGAGACAUCCUGCAGCUACCUAUCUCCCUGGAACAUCCUGCAGUUAUCAGGAUCAUCAGACAUCUUGCAGCUGGCAGUUUUACCACCCACAUCCAGCAAUUGCUGAUUAGAGAGCUUCCCUAUCCCCAGCAUAUAAAUACCCCUGUGUGAACAAUAAAAAUUUGCAGCUUGAUCAGAAUUCCUGUCUUGCUGUCAUCCUUCGUGUCUCUUGUCCCUUCAUUCCUCCCCACCUAGGUUCACCGCCCACGUUGAUGUGUCCUGCCGGUUGGGACAUUGAAUGAAGUCUUCCAUUUAAUUUGUAAUUGUGUUUUAAAUUUUGUAUGGUAUUAUUGCUAGAGAAUAUUGUGUGCAUGAUACUGAUUCUUUGAGACAUGUUAAGAUGUGCUUUAUUGCUAAGUAAGUAGUUGAUCUUUGGAAACAUUGCUUUGAGUCUGAGAAAAAUGUAAGUUCUCUAGUUAUUGGGUACAUAAUUAAAUAUGUUAAUUAUAACAAUCUUAUAUGUUGUUUAAAUAGUACUUCUCUGUGUUAAUUUGCUGUCUUUCAAACUCUCAAUAAUUAUUGGAAAUGUGCUGAGAUGUCGUACAAAGUACAUUAUUUUGAGGCAAUUUAAUUUUGUGUACCCAUGUUUAAAAUUGUUAGAAUCACUGUGAAUUGAAAACUUUGAUGAUUAUGUAGUGCCUGUCUCUAUUCCCAAUAAUGUUCUUUAUUUUACAUUCUAUGUUAUCUAAUAAUAAUAGUAAUAAUAAUAAUAAUAUGUUCUGUGCAUUAUUUUGGUAUUCAUCUGGUAAUUCUUAUUUUAUGUUCCUAUUUUGAAUCUUUCCACAUCUUUAUAUUUUAGGUGUGACUAUUAUAAACAGUAUAGCUAUAUUUUGAGAACUAUAUUUUAAAAAUUGGUGUUUGACUCACUUAUAUUUGUUGUGAUUAUUGAUAUAUUUGGACUUGAACCUACCAAAAUAAAAUUUGUCCUAUGUCUUUCACUUUCUUUUUUUCGCUACCAGAAUUGAAUCCAGGGGUGUUCAACCACUGAGCCACAUUCCCAUCCCUUUUUUAAAAACAUAUAUUUUGAGACAGGGUCUUGCUAAGUUGCCUACGGUCUCCCUAAGUUGCUGAGGCUGGCUUUGAACUUGUCAUCCUCCUGCCUCAGCCUUCAGAGUCCCCAGGGUUACAAGAGUGUACCACCCUGUGCAGCCUGUCUUUUGCUCUUGCUUCUUUGUUCCUCUUGACUUUUCAAAAUUAACUUAUUUUUUUUUCCUUGGUUAAAUCUUUAUCUUAAUCACAUGUUACCCCUGCACUGGUUAAAAUAGUAUGCUCUUUUCUUUUAGUAAUCAGGGUUGUCAUUUUAUCAGAUAUAUUAAAUUUAAGUUUAAAGUGAGAGUAUUUAAAUACUCUCCUGAAAAAUAUAAGAAUCUUAGGAUAUUACCCACUUUUGAUUAAAAAGCUUGAUCUUUAUCUUUUAAACUCCUCCUUCCCUUUUUUCCUCCUCCUUCCCUUUUUUCACUUUUCCUCCUCGUCAUUUUUGUUCUCUUUUUUCAUAUAAAUGAUGAAAAAAGAUCAUUCACAUCAUUAUCAAUUGAUUCUUUUUGCAUUUCAGACUUUCCUUUUGCAACAACUUUCCUUCUUAUGGAAGCACCUCUUUUAGAAGUUUCCCUGAUGAAGAUCUGUUAGUAACAAACUCUCUAGGUUUUUGUUCAACUGAUAGUGUCUAUAGAGACAUUUUCAUUUUAUUUCUGAAAAGAUGGUUUUGCUGAAUGCAUAAUUUUAAAUUAACAAAUUUUCUUAAGACUUUAGAGUUGUUAUUCCUCUUUUAUUUUCUAUUGUUACUAUUGAGAGUCUAACCAUAAUUCCCUUUCUUUCAGGUUAAUUUUAAUUUCUUUUGUGGUCUUACAUUUUGCUACAUUGUACAUCUUCAUGGAUUUCUAUUUAUAUUGCUUGUUAUACAUUAACUUCUUGUUAAUUCUUGUUUAAUUCUAAACAAUUCUUUGUCAUUUUCUUCACAAAUAUUUCAGCUUCUCCAUCAUCUCUAUUUCUUCUCUAGUACUCUGGUUGUAUUUUAAAGCCUUUAUCUUUUAAUCUCUCUUUCUUGCUGUCUAUCUUUAUAUAUACCUCCUUAAAAAAGAAAUAUAUAUAUAUAUAUUUAGUUGUCAAUGGACCUUUAUUGUUAUUUAUUUAUAUGCGGUACUGAGAAUUGAACCCAGUGCCUCAAACAUGCUAGGCAAACACUCUACCACUGAGCUAUAACUCCAGCCCUCCUUUUUUUCUUUAUACUGGAUCCUGUAGAUGUCUUUCAGAUAUAUCUUCCAGUUCAUUAAUUUCCUCUUUAUCUACAUCUAAUCUGAAAUUUAAGCCAUCUGUUAAAUUAUCUUUCAACAAUUAUAGUUUUAUUUCUAAACGUUAUUUUGUUUAUAUUAUUCAAAUCUGCAAGAUAUUUUUGACAGCUUCUUAAUAAUUAAUCAUUUUUAAUUGUUUAAAAAUCUAUAGGAUUCAGAAAUAUACAUCUUUAAUUAUUUGCAGUUUACAGGAAGCAAUUUUGUAGUCUGUGUCUGACAAUUUCAAAUAUGAAUUCCAUCUGUUUGUAAUUAGUGAUGACUUGCAAUAAUAGUUCCUUCUCUUCAUGUGUAUUUGCUGUUUUUAGUUUUGAGCUCAUAUUUCUUUCUUUCUUUUCUUUUUUUUUUGAAAUUGACACAGUACCUUUGUUUAUUUUUAUGUGGUGCUGAGGAUUGAACCCAGUGCCUCACAUGUGCUAGGCAAGUGCUCUACUGCUGAGCUACAACCUGAUCCCUCCUUUUGAUCUAUGGGAAUUUUGGGGGAAUACAUUAGGAAAGGUUUUCCCCAGGAAAUUUUUAUUUUUGCUUUUGCUAGGAAACAGGGGAACUACUGCCCCAGAAUAAUUUAGUGUCUUUUUGAAAUCUUAGCUUAAUGUGGGACUUUCAGAUUCAGUACAUGAACUUGCUUCUAGUCCAAGAUUUAAUUCAGCUAUACAGAUCUGGUAUUGGCUUUUGUCUUUAGGUCAACCCAUUUUCUCCUUUUUAUUAUUGUUCACUAUCUUGCAUUUUUAAAUUUUAAUUUUGGAGGGAGUAUGCUGAAGAUUUCUUUUAUCCUUACAAAUUUAGAAAUGCAAUAAAAGAUAGUUUAUUUGAGACUUUUUUUGUGUGUGUAUGUGGGGUAGGGGUCUUUCACAAAAAUUAAUCUUUCCAAACUGCUGGAAGAAGAAAUUUGAAACCCUUUUUUGGAGAAUUUUAAAAAAUAGUGUUUAGAACAUUUACAACUAGUUCUUUAGAUGAGUUUACACAAGGUAAUUUGGACAAUGAAAUGUAUCUUACUCACCAUGAUCAAGCAGUGUUCCCUAUAGCUCCAGUUUCCUGAUCUCCUCAUUCACUUUAUCUCGAAUGAGGAAUGUAAACUUGCCAUGGAAGGCUCGAUUUAGAAUGUUCAAAUGAGCAAUUAUCUCUUAACACCAACACAAGUCAUGCAUACAAUUUGGCAGAUUGAAGAUUAUAUACAGAAGAAACUUGAAGUUCCUUGCAAAACAAAUAGAGGAGUGAGAACAUUGCUGACUGAAAGCCAAUGAGCUCCGUCUCUUUAAAAAGUUAAAAAAAAAAAACAAUGAUCUAACAUUAAUGAGACUAAUAGUCUUUAAAGCUUUAUAAAAUUUUUCUCUUAAACCUUGAAAUAUCCAGAGCAUACAAAACUUUGUGAAUACGGCAGCAUGUUAAAGUGUCUUUCGAUGUGUAAGGUUGAUUCUGUGUAAGGUUCAUGGCUAUUUCUGAACCUACAUUUAAAGUUAAAAAGAUUAUAUAAGAUAGAAUGUUGCUGAUAGAGAAACUAUAAUUUCAUUCUAAAUGACAAUCUUGGUAAAAUCAUAAGUUUAAUAUACUAAUUAUAUUUUCUACAAUACAUGACAUCAUGCUCUAUGUUUUUCAAUUCAGAAAACACCAAGUUGAGCCAAGAAGAAGCUGUGGGUAUCAGCUGUAAAUAUCAGAACAAAGUGUGCUUGCUCUCGAAAACUACGCUGUACCCUGCUUCACAGGGGUCUAGUUGGUCUGGAGUGUGGGAAAUUCUGGGUAAGACACUGAUCUUCAGUUGCUUCUUGAUAAAUAAUAUAUUUGAGUGUGCAGAGCCUUGAUACCCAUUCACCUUUAAAAUAUCUCUUUAGUUCUCAUAACGUGAAAUUUAUGUUCUCCCGUUUCUGGGUCUCAGUUACUUCCCUAGACACUGAAGAGGCCAGAUCACAUGUUUGCCAAGUUUCUCUUAGCACAGUGUUUGGUGUGAUGUGUAAGGCCAGGAAUACAUGUUGGUACUCACCACAGCUCCCCCUACUGGCAUAUAAACAUUUGCAUCAAAACCAAAAGGAGGUUAAGUUCCUCCACUGUGGACUUAAAUGGGUUCAAAACAAAGUUUUGCUUCUUAAAUACUGUUCAAUCUGUAGAUUAUUUUCUUUUUGGAAAAAUCUCUUUUCAGAUGACUCAGUGUUUUCAAAUGUUGUUCCUUCUCAGAGAACACUGAAUUACGUCCUUUGAGCACCCGCGAUUGAAUUGGUGGCUUCAUUAAUGUACCUUCAGGAUGAAGCUAAUACUGGGAAGAUAAUGAAGGAAAUGGAAAGAAGCACUUUGGUGACACUAUUGGGGCCUCUGGAUCAACACUUGCUUGAUGUCUGAGCUUCAUUUUUAUGAGCCAAUGUAUUACUUUCAUUCUGUAAGACCAGUCAGGGUUUGGUCCCUUGUGGUAAAAAGUAACCAAAUGAAAACAUUUCCUAUUUGAGAUAAGUUGAACAUCUGACUUCAGUUUUAUCACCUCUAAUGAAAACCAAAGUUCUAUGCCACACUUUCUCUGUUGUAAGAAAACCAAGCCUAUAGAAGUCAAGAUUUACAAGAGUAAAUCUUGCAUGUAAAAAUUUCUUUGCAUUUUAAAAGGAGUUCAACAAUUAUAGGAGGUUCACUAUGAGCCAGUUUCACUAUUCAGUCAGUUUUGCAGUAAAUUAAAAUGUGAUUCACUUGAUAUAUUUUUAGGAACAUAUCAUUUGGGUUAAGUGGAAGCAUUACUGUUCUGGACAUCUGGGGUACUUAAUGUCAUCUCUGUAUGAAACAUCUGAGGAUCUAAUAGUAAGCAACCUUUUGUGCCAAAUAUUUAAAAUUCCUUCAGGAGUUAGUUUGAAGCUUGCAAAGACUCUGAGAUUGUAGUUAGAAAUACCUUGUCAAGCAAAUAAGAGAAAAUGAUCAGGCAGCACAUACCCUGUUUCUGAGGAACAUAGUCUGUGGUGACUUUAUGGGGAGCUGUAGCAGGUGCAUGAUAACCUUGUGGUUCAUCAUGUACUAUGAAGGAACAGUGACCUUCUCCCUCGAACUUUAGGAUUUCUAGGUAGGAUAGCCAUAUGUUCCUAUUUUCCCAGGAUAGUUCCAGUUUAUGUUGUUGUAAUAACACUCUCUGCCAGUUCCUGCUUAUAAGCUGCAUCAUUGUGGCACACAGCACAUAAUGGCACACAGAUCAAAUUAAAAUUGAGGAAUAAAAUAGUAGAGAAAGGAUGGAUUGGACUAACAUCUGGAAAACCAGGAGAGAGACUUUAGUGAUAAUUAUGGAGGGAGAACUUUUUGCUACUAAGUAUCUCAUAAACAAAAAUGGGAUUUGUUGUUUGGUAGUGUUAAAGGGGAUAUGAUGAAUGCUUUUGUAAAAGUUUAAGAUUAAAACACAGACUAAAAUAAGUCAAAUAGACUCAGCAACAAUAAGCCAAUGGCCAAUGCCAUUACAGAUCAAUAAGGCAGGUUUCAGCUUCUUGGAAGCACAGUAAUCAAUCCAGUUUCUGCAUUAUACCUCUCUUUUCCUUCUAAGUCCAAACUCAGUUCUCAGUAGCCUCUGUAGCAGCCACUACCAAUUGUGGAAAGCUGGCACAUGAAACAAUACACAUGUUGCUCCUUGCCACUUCUUUUUAUCUGCUCCCAAGAUGCCACCGUGGGGAGGAGCACAGCUGUGGGUUUUGCAAGAAAAUGUUUUACCCUCAGUUGGAGAGUUUUGGGAAGAGAGGAAGACAAAAGGCUUCAUUCAUUGUUUUCAAUAAAUGUUCAAGUUUUAAUAUAAGGAAAAAAGAGAGGUUCAAUUCUUAAGUGUCAACGGAAAAGUGACAUCUGAUUUUAUGGUGAGGAGAGCAUGAGAAACAAGGCUCCCUGGAGAACAGCCCCAACCAAGUCACCGUAAGAAAGAAAAAUUGUAGUGCCUAGCUUCUUCCACAGAGGGGCACUCCAAGCUCAGCACUGAACACUCCACGGUAUUGUUUUCAGUGACUGGUUGUGGAUGGAACAAGAGCUUCCAGUCUUUUCCCGGUUCCUACUAGGGAUUUUGAAAUAGAUAGAAUUAAAAGUACAUUUGUAGAACUCUGGAUGAAUGAGACAAAGCCAUUUUGGUGUCAAUUCCUAAUUAUUUCACAUUUACAAAUAUAACAGAAAUAUGUUAAAUUUGAAAAGAAAUUUCAUCUAUAUCUGUUUGGGUCUGCAUCAUACGAAAGAUUGAAUAAUUUGGAGAUUAUGAUAAAGUUCUCAUUUAAAGCUAAAAUACGGUUUAUCAGAAAAUUAUUGUAAGCUCGUCUCAAACACUCGUGAUUUCAUCUGAAUAUGAAAUUCAAAUUACAUCUUGG